UGAAAUUUGAAUCUGAACCUAUAAAAUCGUCGGACUUUAAAAUUCAUAACUGAACCCGAACUCGACAUAAAAAUUGAAUCCAAAUCCGAACUAGAAAAACUUGAACCCAAAAACAAUCAUUUCUCUUUACCAGAAACCAACGUGCGUGUCACUUCAUCGUCACACGUUCGGUUGAAUAUCAUUAGAAAUAUAGUAAUAUAUAGUUGAAAAAAUAUAUAUAGUUAGAAAUGCCAUACCUAAUUACAAUUGUUAUAUAUAUUUCAUGAGUCCGACUACUAUACUUUUAUGAGUAUUGGCUCCCUCAUACUCAUAAGUUUUUGGUCCUUAGAUUUAUUCCAUUAAUCAUUUUCAUCCGUUAGAUCAUACUAUUUAACCAACUACCCACUCAACCCUAGGGGACCACUAGUAUUUUCAUUUACCCAAUAUGUGGCGAAACCCUUGGGUUUGCCUACGCCUCACAUAUCUAUCCAAUUGGGUAAGGAGACUCCAUGUGUCCCCGAACCCGGGACUGUCAGCGGACAUCCACUCUGUCCUAAUCGCCCGACGCUCCGGAGUACUCGACGACCAAUCCUCUUCAUGUGAGGAUAUGGAUGGCUUUACCAUCCCGAAUAACGGACCGUGAGCUUGAUCUAUUCCACGUGAGGAUACCCUACGAACUAGGGCCAACAUUUUCUCAGAACUCAUCUAUUCCGACAUUCAUGCAUAAUUACUUAGCUAUACUAAGUUCAUUGUUCACGAGUCAUUUACUAGGGAAUCGACCUAUCCCUAAGUUCAUGAACCUCCAGUGUCAAGUACACAACAUAAUGCCACUCGUUCUGUUCUUUAAACAUUUAGAUGCCACUCUCUAUGUCAUUAAAUAACCAUCGAGUUCAUCUCUUUCCUUUCGCACUAUAGGAUUCAUGUUCCGACCCAAUCCUUACUUAUCCAUUCACCAAGUAUUCCAUGUACACUAGGUUAACAUUUAGAAGCAUAAGAAAAAGGUAUUACCAUACAAUCCUACAAUGCAGCAUGCAAGAGAUGAGAUUAUAUGUUAUUUUAAGACAUAAUAGAGAGUUCGGUUGCUUCGGGAUGACACCCCCCACCUUUGAGGGUAUGAAGGUUUUAGAAAUGCUUCUCGCCGAACGUUACGACGAGGUCUCAGCCUCCUUGGUCCAAAACGGCGCUCAAUCAGCUAUAUUUCACUGAUAGCUUUUUACCCGCUCGACGAAUCGAAAAACCGACUUCGUCCCCGCGUUUAGACUCCUAGCAAUUAGGUUUAGAUGUCAACAAGUGAGAUCAAACCCAUUGUUUUCCAAAAACCCCAACUUGGGUGCCCUAGGGUUCACAUCUUACAAUUUGCACUAUAGAACCCUAACUUCUAGCUCUAUUCCACCAUUAAUAGUGCUAGAGGUCCAUUUGACCUCAUCUCAAAAGCUAAAAACCCCAAAACCCUAAGUUCUACCGUUAGGGUUCAAGAGCUUACCUCUAGGUUAGCUCCAAUGGAGAGGAGAGGAAGAGGGAGAUGCUCCAAGCCUUCUCUAGCUUGCUCUCCUCCUUCUUCUUCUUCUCUUUUCCUUCUUCUCCUUCUCUUUUCUUUCUUCUUUUCCUUGAGAGAGAGAGGGAGAGCUAAGGGAGAGAGAGUGAGGGUGGAAAUGAGAGGGGAAGAGAGAGCCCUUUGCUCUCUAUACACUCUAACUAAGGCAUAAAUUGCAGCUAAGCCCCUCGACUUUACUCCUCUCAAGUUUCUCUGCCUGGGCAGAUUUCGCGCGGAGGGACCGGUCCUUCCCUGCCAGGAACCGGUCCCUGAGGACCUUCCCAAUUUCACGCGUACAGGAACUGGUCCCUGCUCGAGAGACAGGUCCCCAGGGACCGGUCCUCCUGAUGAGGGACCGGUCCCCGAGAGCCUUCUGCCUGGUUGCUCUUACGAGAACUGGUCCUUCUGGCCAGGGACCGGUUGCAUCAGCUGUCUGCCGCAACCUCAGCUACGGGGAUCGGUCCUUCCCUGCCAGGGACCGGUCCCCGAGAGUAGAACCUGCCAAAUGCAUAUUUUUGCAUCUUUGCUCUCGCGGACUCGACUCCAAAGCACUUUUGUGUUUUGGACAUCUCUAGCUUUUCUAAAGCCUACUCACUCGAAGUAUAACUCUCGGAUUUUGAGAAUUCACAUCCUUACAUCCUCCCCUCCUUAAAAGGAGUUUCGUCCUCGAAAUUGAUUCAGCUUAAAUUUAAACUCAGUUUCUAUACCUUAUUCCUCAAACAAGUGAGGGUGAUGCUUUCUCAUCAGAUUUUCGAGUUCCCAGGUGGCCUCGCGAUCAUCAUGAUUGCUCCACCGGAUCUUCAGGUAUAGAAUCUCGUGAUUUCGCAGCUUUCGCACUUCUCGGGCGAUAACCAUCACCGGAAACUCUUCAUAGCUCAAGUCUUCUUGGAGUUCCGGCGGCUCGUAUAGCAUCGCAUGCUCGGGGUCAUGAAUGUACUUGCGAAGGUUGGAGACAUGGAACACAUUGUGUACAUCCGCGAGCUUCGGCGGCAAGGCAAGUCGAUAGGCCACCGUGCCAACUCGCUCCAAUAUCUCAUAUGGUCCAAUGUAUCGGGGACUUAACUUUCCCCGCACUCCAAACCACUUCACACCCCGCAUUGGCGAAACUUUUAAGAAUACGCGGUCACCCACCGCAAAUUCUAGGUCUCGACGGCGCCUAUCAGCAUAACUUUUCUUUCUCAACUGCGCCGUGAGCAAUCUCUUGCGAGCAAGGCGGACUUUCUCCUCUACUUCUCGCAACACGUCUGGGCCGAACUCUGCACCCUCACCCACAUCGCUCCAAUGUAUAGGAGAUCGACACUUCCGCCCGUAGAGGGCCUCGAGCGGUGCCAUCUCUAUACUAGCAUGAUAACUGUUGUUGUAGGCGAACUCGGCCAUCGGCAAAUGAUCACACCAACUCCCCUUAUAGUCGAUGACACACGCCCGCAGCAUACCCUCCAGAGUUUGAAUGGUCCUUUCUGUUUGCCCAUUUGUCUGAUGAUGGAAUGCUGUACUAAAAUCGAGCCGUGUGCCAAGGGCUUCCUGCAGGCUCUUUCAGAAGUGUGAAGUAAACUAGGGGUCGCGAUCCAACACGAUUGAUUUUGGCACCCCGUGCAAUCUCACUAUCUUAUCAAGGUACACCUGCGCCAACUUGUCGCCUGCCCACGUGGUGUGGAUCGGCAAAAAGUGAGUUGACUUCGUCAAUCGGUCCAUAAUUACCCAUAUUGCAUCGUGGCCGCCCAUUGAACGAGGUAAGCCGACCACGAAGUCCAUUGAUAUGUCCUCCCAUUUCCAAACGGGGAUUGGUAGGCUUUGAAGCUUGCCCGCUGGAAACCGACGCUCCGCCUUCACUUGUUGGCAUACUAAGCACUUAGCCACGAAGCGUCCAAUAUCGCCUUUCAUUCCAGACCACCAAUAGUGCAUUUUUAAUCCCUGAUACAUCUUGGUGCCGCCCGGGUGAUCACAAUAAGGCGACCAAUGUGCCUCUUGCAAGAUUAGCUCCUGAAUCUUCUCAUUAUUCAGCACACACCAUCGAUUUCGAAAUCGAAGUGCACCAUCGGCGUCUACCAUGAAAUCGCCGCCAUGACCAUUCUCGAUGUCACGCCGCACAUUUUGGAGUUCCGGGUCCACGGGUUGUAGAUCUUUGAUCCUCUCCAACAGGUUCGGUUGGAACACGAGCGCGGUCAACUGGGCCGGAAUCUCGGGAGUAACCACCUCAAGGUUCAUUCGCUCUAUGUCCAGCCAUAGGGGUGUUUGAUUUGUAACCCACAUAGCGAGGUUCUCCGCCGACUUUCUGCUCAGUGCAUCCGUGACCACAUUCGCCUUCCCCGGGUGGUAAAGGAUAUCCACGUUGUAAUCCUUUAACAAUUCUAACCACCGUCGUUGUCGCAUGUUGAGCUCUUUUUGUGUGAACAGAUACUUUAGGCUCUUGUGGUCGGUAUAGAUCUCACAAUGGGUACCGUAUAGGUAGUGCCGCCACAACUUCAAGGCGAAGAUUACCGCCGAUAGCUCCAAGUCAUGAAUGGGGUAGUUCUUUUCAUAGCUCUUCAACUGACGGAUGCAUAAGCAAUUACCUUCCUGCCUUGCAUCAAAACACAUUCCAAUCCUAGAUAGGAAGCAUUGCUAUAGACCACAAAGUCUUCGCCCUGCACCGGUAGAGCGAGUACCGGAGUCGAAGUCAAUCUUUCCUUCAACACUUUGAAACUCCGGUCGCACUCCUUGCUCCAAACGAAUUUGGUGCCUUUCUGAGCCAGACAAGUAAGUGGAAUUACUAUCUCCGAGAAGCCCUCCACGAACCGUCUAUAGUAGCCCGCCAGACCCACGAAGCUUCUAACUUCUGUGACAUUCGUUGGGCGCGGCCAAUCCUUGAUUGCCUCAACUUUCCUCUGGUCUACCGAAACUCCACCCGCAGAAAUCACAUGCCCUAGAAAUGCGACCUCUUGGAGCCAGAAGUCACACUUCUUUAACUUAGCAUAUAGCUUCUCCGCCCGAAGGACUUGAAGCACAAUCCUCAAAUGCUAGGCAUGUUCCUCGUCACUACGAGAAUAGACCAAUAUGUCGUCUAUGAAGACCACGACGAAUCGGUUCAAAUACUUCCUGAAGACACGGUUCAUCAAAUCCAUGAACGCCGCUGGAGCAUUCGUGAGUCCAAAUGGCACGACCGUGAAUUCAUAGUGCCCGUACCUCGUACGAAAUGUAGUUUUCUGCACAUCCUCCGGCUUGAUCUUCAACUGGUGAUAGCCGGACUGCAAAUCUAUCUUCGAGUACACACACGACCCUUGCAACUGAUCGAACAGGUCAUUGAUUCGGGGUAGUGGGUACUUGUUCUUAAUCAUGACUCUGUUCAACUCUUGAUAAUCCACGCAGAGUCGAAACGAUCCGUCCUUCUUCCGCAUAAAUAAUACCGGGGCUCCCCACGGUGAUACACUUGGUCGGAUGAAUUGCUUGUUGAGGAGGUCCUGUAACUGACUCCUCAACUCUUUCAAUUCUACCAGCGCCAUUCGGUACAGAGCCUUCGAGAUCGGUGCGGUACCGAGAAUCAAGUCUAUGACAAACUCGAUCUCCCAAUUUGGUGGUAUCCCCGGUAACUCCGCGGGAAACAUUCGGGAACUCCCGCACCACUGAUAACUCCUCUAAUGUUGGAGCUACUCGAUCCACUUCCACAACAACUGCCAAGAACGCUACGCAACCGCUGUUGACCAACUUUCUUGCUCUUGUCGCCCACACCGUCGCGGCGAAGCACGAGCUUUGACAAGCCCGAUAAGUGAACUCCUUCUGUCCUGGCUCAUGAAACGUAACCACUCUGCUCUUGCAGUCGAUCGUUGCGUGAUACUUUGAGAACCAGUCUAUGCCCAAUAUGACAUCGAACUCUUUAAGGUUCUUGAGCUCUAGCAUCCUAAUGGGCAUUAUCCAGUUGCCUACUUGUACUAGACACGAUGAGCAUUCCGUGUAGGUAUUAAAUGUCGACCCAGGGCCCUGAACUCGCCACUUGCCAUCACUCGCCUCUAUGAGUAUGUCAUGCAUGCGUGCGAAUGAUCUACUGAUAAAUGAAAGCGUGGCUCCUGUAUCAAACAUAGCCCUGGAGCGAACUCCGUUAAUUAAAACCAUACCUGCCACUUGGCGAUGCUCCUCCGUCUCCGCAGGCUCCUUGGCUUGGACCUAAGCGGCGAAUACUCGUCCGCUCGGGCCGAUCGCGCCAUCUCGGGCUGGCGCGGCAUCAUCGCACGUCCCGCCGACACAGCCGUCGGUGGGACUCCUCCAUAGUGAGCCGGAACCGCCGGCGCCGAUGCAAUGGAUGGGGCAGGUGAGGUUCCUCCCCGGGGCAAUCCCACACAAAGUGCCCCGGUUGCCCACACUUGUAGCACUUGCUUUUGCGCUGCCUGCAACGCGACACCGGGUGGUCUUCGCCACAUAUGAUGCACCGUCGCAUUCCACUGCCCUUUGGCUGAGUCCGCGGAUACUUCGGGGGCUUCUUGGAAUGUGCUUGUCCCUCCGAACCGCUGCCUUGAUGCUUCUUGCAUUUGUCAUUGGACUCGACCAACAUCUCGCGCUUCUCCCGAACAUGGGCGUCACCGUGCCCCGCCUAAAGUGCUCGAUCGAAGACCUCCGCGAAGGUCGUGAGCUUGAGUAUCUGCACGGCCUUGUAGAUCCCCGGCCGAAGUCCUCGUAAGAACCAGUCGGCUUGGUCCCGGUCAUCUCGUACCACAUCCGGAACACAGUCAAUAAUGUGGGAGAACUCCUGCUCAUACUGCGCUACUGAGCAGUCCCCUUGCUCCAACUUGCGGAACUUCUCCUGGAGCUUCCGCUUCAAUGUGUCGGAAAAAUAAUUGGCGAACAUUGCCCUCUUGAACUCCUCCCACAGCAUUGGUGGAAGAUCGGAAAGCCGAUCUCGCUUCACGCGCUUCCAUCACACCUUUGUCGCCUUUUCUAAGAAGUGGGUGGCAAGAUACACCUUAUCCCUCUCCAAGGUACGCAAGUCCUCGAAGAGCGUUUCCAUCGAGUCAACCCACGACUCGACCAUCGCCGACUCUACCUUCUCGCCCUCGAAGAUGGGCAGAUGAAACUUGUUAAACUUGAUAAAAGCCGCCAACGCACGAUCCCCCUCCACGUCUUCGGCCAUCAUAUCGGGUGUCGCCGAUCCCGACGCCGCUGGAGGUACAAUAGCGGUGGUGGACGUGCCGUCACCGGAGCCGCCGCAAUACCCUCACCCUCUGCCGCCUCGGGUACACGAGUCAAGGGUGCGGGCGGGACACCGCCUCAAUCAUUGUUGCGGCCGUCGCCGCGAUCUGUCGCUCCAAAAGCUCCUGGAGCUGCUCAAAUCGAGUCUCCUGGCGCUGCACCACAUUGGUCAAUGCGGUCACUUGCGCUUGCAACCGAUCGAUCUCGCUCGGUUCAGCUUGCUCGGGCACCUCAGGAGGCGGUGCCGGAGUAGAUCUCGUACUCGAGCGUCCCCUUGGCGCCGUUAGCUCCUGAAACGCAAUCGCACGGUUAAUCAUCUUAACUGACUACAUCAUCGAAAUUACGACACAUAACGACCCAACAACAAGAAUCGAGCGGAAGCACACAAGUGUACUUAUUCUAGACUCUCGGUAUUAUGUCGUCGGUCGCCGACACAACCACCUUAAGACAAGAGCUAAUACCACUUGAAUCUACCUCUAGUAAUUACUAGAGAUAUAUUACCAACUUCGACCCAAUCGAAUCACUUCCACUACCGUUAUAGGUUUACGUUCCAGUCACGCACCUAUAGCCUUAGGUUACCAACCUAGGGUCUCCUAUGUCAUUCUAGACUUUCUCUCUUUACUUGCUCUUAUUGCUCUGAUACCACAAACUGUCACGCCCCCGCCCCGAAACCCCUACCAAUUUGGCACGAUUCGGGCGCGGCGAACGGACGCCGAACGGACAGCACCUCCCCUGUCCGCCCAAGGCUCAAUAAUAGAUCGAGUACAAGAAUUUACCCAGGAUUUUAAAUUCUAUAAGUACACAAUCAACGGGGCACAAACAGUACCAACAAUAAAGAGCAAGUAAUCCACAAGAUACACGAGUGAAAUAAGAGAGAACUUACUAACUAUUACAUCAUAUUUGCAUUUUGUGUACAAUUACAUUCUUUUCCUCAAAAUGAUUACAUGUUCAUCAAGUACAUAGCUCUCCAAAGUCCUCACCUACAUGAAUCUCUGUCAAAUACAUAGGUGUGCUAAUGCAAAAGGAAAGCUACUACUCUACCAAUGGUCAUCACUGGUCGGGCGCGAUGCCCUUGUCCUCGCCCGGCAAACUUGGACCUAGUCCUGGAAAUAGAGUGGGGUGAGAACUAUCUUUCAUAGUUCCCAGUGGGCUUUGCCGCCGACUCCGUCGAUCUCCUCACUAGGUCCAAGUGGGCACAAGUAACAACGAGAUAGAUAGAUAUAUAUAUAUCAAAGCUGUAAAGACAUAAUAGAAAAACUAUGCUACUAUGCCCAUAAUCAUGUGUAAUGAAUGUAUGCAUCAUUUAGUAAAAGUUUGCUAUCAUGCUAACAAGUUCAAUCCAUGUUCGAUAAGCAACGUUCGAUGACAAUAUUAAUUUUUCAUUUACCCAAUCUGUGGCGAAACCCUUGGGUUUGCCUACGUCUCACAUAUCCAUCCCAUUGGGUAAGGAGACUCCAUGUGUCUCCGAACCCGGGACUGUCUGCGGACAUCCACUCUGGCCUAAUCGCCCGACACUCCGGAGUAUUCGACGACCAAUCCUCUCCAUGUGAGCAUAUGGAUGGCUUUACCAUCCGAAUAACAGACCGUGAGCUUGAUCUAUCUUCUCCACGUGAAGAUACCCUAGGAACUAGGGCCAACAUUCUCCCGGAACUCAUCUAUUCCGACAUUCAUGCACAAUUACUUAUCUAUACUAAGUUCAUUGUUCACGAGUCAUUUACUAGGAAAUCCACCUAUCCCUAAGUUCAUGAACCUCUAGUGUCAAGUACACUACAUAAUACCACUCGUUUUGUUCUUUAAACAUUUAGAUGCCACUCUCUAUGUCAUUAAAUAACCAUCGAGUUCAUCUCUUUCCUUUCGCACUAUAGGAUUCAUGUUCCGACCCAAUCCUUACCUAUCCAUUCAUUAAGUAUUCCAUGUACACUAGGUUAACAUUUAGAAGCAUAAGAAAAAGGUACUACCAUGCAAUCCUACAAUGCAACAUGCAAGAGAUGAGAUUAUAUGUUAUUUUAAGACAUAAUAGAGAGUUCGGUUGCUUCGGAAUGACACCCCCCACCUUUUGAGGGUAUGAAGGUUCUAGAAAUGCUUCUCGCCGAACGUUACGACGAGGUCUCGGCCUCCUUGGUCCAAAACGGCGCUCAAUCGGCUAUAUUUCGCCGAUAGCUUUUUACCCGCUUGACUAAUCGAAAAUCCGACUUCGCCCUCGCGUUUAGACACCUAGCAAUUAGGUUUAGAUGUCAACAAGUGAGAUCAAACCCAUUGUUUUCCAAAAACCCCAACUUGGGUGCCCUAGGGUUCACAUCUUGCAAUUUGUACUAUAGAACCCUAGCUUCUAGCUCUAUUCCACCAUUAAUAGUGCUAGAGGUCCAUUUGACCUCAUCUCAAAAGCUAAAAACCCAAAAAUCCUAAGUUCUACCAUUAGGGUUCAAGAGCUUACCUCUAGGUUAGCUCCAAUGGAGAGGAGAGGAAGAGGGAGAUGCUCCAAGCCUUCUCUAGCUUGCUCUCCUCCUUCUUCUUCUUCUCUUUUCCUUCUUCUCCUUCUUUUUCCUUUCUUCUCUUCCUUGAGAGAGAGAGGGAGAGCUAAGGGAGAGAGAGUGAGGCUGGAAAUGAAAGGGGGAGAGAGAGCCCUUUGCUCUCUAUACACUCCAACUAAGGCAUAAUUGUAGCCAAGCCCCUCAACUUUACUCCUCUCAAGUUACUCUGCCUGGGCAGAUUUCGCGCGGAGGGACCGGUCCUUCCCUGCCAGGGACUAGUCCCUGAGGACCUUCCCAAUUUCACGCGUACGGGAGCCGGUCCCUACCCGAGAGACCGAUCCCUUGGAGACCUGUCCUCCCGAUGAGGGGCCGGUCCCCGAGAGCCUUCUGCCUGGUUGCGCUUACGGGAACCGGUCCCUCUAGCCAGGGACCGGUUGCAUCAGCUGUCUGCCACAACCUCAGCUACGGGGACCGAUCCUUCCCUGCCAGGAACCGGUCCCCGAGAGCAGAACCUGCCAAAUGCAUAUUUUUUGCAUUUUUACUCUCGCGAACUCGACUCCAAAGCACUUUUGUGUUUUGGACAUCUCUAGCUUUUCCGAAGCCUACUCACUCGACAAUUAGUCGAUCCUGGACGAAGUAUAACUCUCGGAUUUUGAGAAUUCACUUCCCUUACAGGUGUUUCCAGUUAAUCCCGCACGUAAGGACGGGAAUACGCCUUAGGGUAGUGCCUCGCACGCUUCCGGAUCAAUCAAAUUAUUUAUUUGGAUUUUAGCACUUAUUUGUAAGUCUGAUUUUAUUUUUAUCACAAAAUUAGUUAGAUUUUUAAUUAUAAUCAGAUUUUCUAUGCGGUAUUUGUUCUAACAAUCUAAGGCGUAAAUCCCAAUCUGAUUGUGAUUAAAAAUCUAACAGUCUAACAAAUGCUAAUCCGUCUAAUUUUAUAUGCAUAUAAUUUACUUGUUAACUUGUUUGUAUGAUUGGCAAUCAAACAUAAAUUUUUCGGGAUUAGCAUUUUAACCUGUAAUUGCAUAUUAUUUAAUUUAUUAUUAACGUUACAAUUUAUUUGAUGAUUAUUUUUUUUAAAAAAAAAUUGCCUUUACUGUAGCUCUUUUUGGAAAAAAUAUAUAUAUUGUACGGACACUGUAUGGAUUUCAAAACUAUAUAUAUUGUUUUCACUGUUUUUCCUACAGGAUUUAAAAAAGAACAAAAAAUUGCUACAGUAAAAUUACUUUUAUAGUGUGCCGUUUUAGAGUUUUUGCUACAGCAAAAAACCCUUUGAAAAAAAAAAUAGUAAAUAUAUAUGUAUACAUACUGUCUUUUGCUAAACCCUCUUUGAAAAAGAGAAAAAAAAAAAAAAAAACUGACGUAGGUUUCUUAAAAGAUUUGGUACUAUGUAAGGACUGAGAUUUUAACUGUACAACUAAACUCUCUGUUGACGAUGUUUUUGUGUGUAAUUUAAUUACAAAAGUACUCGUCAAAUUUCAGGAGAAAUCGAGUUAAAACGGAGAUUCUACGCGAUUUCCAAGUUUCACUUAAAGUGAAUAGUAACUCGAUUUUCCGGAGAAGCCACGGUGUGAAGUUGGCUUUCAGCUCGUAUCGGACUCCGUUCCUAGCGGUCCAAUAGCUCGUUUCGACCGGUUCAGCUGUUCUGGAACUAAUGGCGCUGACGGAUUCUGAGUUUGACGCACGGAUUUUGAGAAAAUCCAAAAAUACGUGUUUUAUAUGUAUUUUGUGUGUAGUUUCUUCUGUUGGAGAGAAGGUCGGAUUUCGUCGUGAAUCCGCGACCGUUUGAGGUGAAAUGAAAUCGUAGAUCUAUUGUCUACGAGGUGCUGAUCGCACUGGUGCAAUCCGUUCGCAAAUCUGACGGACGGAUCUGCGGAGAUUGCGCGUUGAUCGAGGAGAGGUCGGUAUUGGCAAAUUGUAAUUUCGCAAAAGAUGCGACAUUUUAUGUACCGUUUUGCGUGGGAUCGCACGUGGAGGGGUAUUCUCGCGUUUUACACGCGCUGUGGAGGACUCGUUAUGAAAUUCUGAGUUUUGGAGGACUUACUUGCAAUUUGCACCUUAUGAUAUGUAGUGUAUCUAGGGUUUUUGUUCCCCUAACCCUAACCCUAGCCAUAACUGCACCCCAGCCACGUUCUUGCCUCCCUCUGACCUGGCCGCGCGCCUCCCGGCCGUCGCCGACCGGGUCCGGCCGGCCAGCCGCCGCAGCCGCACCAUAAUCCUCUCUCUCCUUCUCUCUUAUCUUGGGUCGUGAGGAAGCCCGAGAUUGCCGCCACCUCCAGACCCUCCGCCGGUGUCGCCCCGUGCUCCGGCGAGCAUCCCCGCCGACCGCCGCCGUCGCCAAGCGCCGCCGCGGCCGCUGAUGCACCCGGCUGCUGCCUAAGCCGAGCUUAGGUCGAGGAUAACUCGCGGCCUCCCCGCGCGUAGCCACCGCCUGCACCCGCUUCGGCCGCCGUCCCUGGACCCUCGGCGACCACCCCGGCGGGUCGCCGGCGCUCCUGCGAGCCGCUGCCGCCGCCGCGGCCACCCUGCAGCCAUCCCAGGUCUACUCGGACCGAGCAGACUUGGUAACUCCACCCCCGCGUCGCAGCCGCCUUGGUCCACUCCCGCGGCCUUCUCCUGCGUCCCACCGACCUUCCCGGUCGGUCGCAGCAGCCCUUCGGAUCGCCGCCACCGCCGCCCUGAACCUUGGGCGCCACCGCCCAGGUCUGCAGACCGAGCCUAGCUCGAGCGGCAACGCCCGAGCCGCGGGCCGCCGCCGCUGUCGCCCGCCGCCUUCCUCCUCCUCCUCCGACCUCUGUGGACCUGCCGCCGUCGUCCUCGAGGAGCCCCGGCCACCGCCGUGGCCGUAGCUUCGUUGGAACCCGAGCCCGAGCUCGUGCCGGCUCAAGUCUCUCCGCCGUCACUGCCGCCGCUCCCCGCCGCCAAAUGAGGUGAGCAUCGUGUUCCUCACCUCCCCCGCACCCAUCCCUGGCUCCCGCGCGCGCCGCCGUGCCGCCGGAAGCCGGCCGGAGCAACCUUGCUCCGGCCAAGCCCGAAAUAGGGCCUAUUUUAGAUGUUUUGCGUUCUGAGCUUCCCGAGCCUCCCCGAUCUCUGCGGAAGGGAGCACGAUGAUCAUAGCAAAUUGCUAAUCAUCGUGCUCACCUUAGAUUCUGUCGGGGAGACUCCGUUCAGCUGUUUCGGCAAUGUCGACCCUAUCGAGCCUGUUUGGCUGCUGUUUUGGGUUUGCGCACGCUUAUCCGGCUAUCCGAGGCUGUCCUGAUGCCUCCGGAGGUGAGCACGGUGAUCGUUGGUCAGUACUGAUCACAGUGCUCACCUCACUUUGGAUCAAUAGUGUCCGGUUAGCCCUGUUUGGCGCGAUCUUCCCUGACUGCGCGCUGUUCGCAGAACUUCGGGUUGCUCCCGCGCUUCCCACAGUGAGCCAUUGUGCUCCAGAUCGUGAGCACGGCCUCCAGUACGUCGAGACCUGUCAGUACGUGUCUCUGUAGACCUUGGAAGUCCUCGGUUUGCGUGAACGAGCCAUGUUAUCGUCCGAUUUACAUAAAAUGUUGGGAUUUUAUGUAAAUAUAGGGGCUUUUGUGCAAUUAUGCACCUUGUGGCUACUGUGGGCAGUGUGUAUGAGUGUGUUUGACCUCUGGACUGGUUGUCCAUGAUCUUGUAGCUUUCGCGGAAAUCGAAAAGUCGAUUCCGGCGCGUUUUUCGGCGAAAUUCGCCGAAAGAACGCGGUUUCGGUUCGAAUUUCUUCCGACGUCGUUUGGUUGCUCUGUGAGUGGUCGCUAAGCCUUGUUGGCUGGUCACCAUCAUCACUUUGUGGGUUCGGUGAUGAUGGGUGAGCGACGGUGGGUUCCGGUGUCGAAAUAGACACUUUCGGGAACCCGAAUUCGCACAAUUAUCCGGCGACAAUUGUGUAGGGGUGUUAUCUUGUGUUUACUACCAAAACAUCCAAACUGGAGUGUUUUGGGGCAGUAGGUGACUCGUGACACGAGUCGGUGAGUUUCGGGACACUUAGUGGGUCCCGACGGCGUCCCGGUGUGGUUUUCGGGACUUCCGGCGAGUUACGGUAAUCGGUAUUGGGAAACCGAUCUCCGUGGGAUUGUUUGUGGGUUAUGCUUUUAGAGUCUCUUAGUUGUGGGUUAGACACUAACCCAGUGGACCCCCCUUAGGUCCUGUUGACGUUCUUUUGCAGUCAGGAGACAGGCGCGACAGUUGUACAGGUGGGUACUUCGAUCCGACGUCGGUACAGUGGUGCACGCUCGGUGAUGGUUUCUUACCCUUGCUCUUUCGUUAUUAUCUAGCAUAUAUAUAUCUUGAUAUAUAGUGUUGAGCCUAGCACCAUGUUGUUUAGUUACACUCUACUCGGUUGUUCUCUUUAUAUCAUGAGUAGGAGUAGAGUAGUUAUACCAUAUUUCUUUAUUGCUCUACUUAGCUAUUCUGCAUAUCCUGUAUCAUGUUUAGAGUAGAGCGGUUUCGUGAUUUUAUGUGAAAUCGGUGACCUAGUUGAUUCGUUCUUGUAUCUUAUAUCUGUAUAUAGUCGGUUUGUUCCUUGACUCUUGUUGUUUGAUGACCUUUGAGGUCGGUGUACCCUGAGGGGUAGGAUUGUCGACUAGUGGCCGACGGUAGUUCUAGAUCAUAUACUCAGAUGACUUGUUGACCGAUUCUUGCAUAUAUACAGUAGUUGACUCAUUGAUCAGUAUCUACAUACUGUGGGUAGGAUGUUGAGUUGUUCCAUCCCAGUUGACUUGAUUAGUCAGUAUUUGCAUAUGUUUGAGAGGAUGUCGAUGUUGUCCCAUCCUAGUUGACCUGAGUGGUCGGUUCUUGUGCUUCUUUACAGUUGAUGACCUAUGCGGUCGAUAGGCCCUGGGGGGCAGGAUUGUCGGCUGGUUGCCGACGGUUGAUCAUUGACCAUAUUGCAUUGAUCGCCCGAUACUCGUCGCAUUUCACGAACACUGGCGGUCUGAUCCACCGCAAGGAGUGUUCUUUUCCGGAAAAGUGGUUGAAUGGUGACAACCCGUGAGCCCUAGAGGGGUUAUAUGCAUGUUAGAGCGGCAGUGGUACUGUCGGGAGGUGUUGCGGUGCGGACCUCCAGGGCAUUGGCUUGAGGUCUGCGGUGCUGACCAAGAGAGCAUUGGUUUCAGAUUGGGUACUUUUGGACUGAUUGUCCCAUUGACGCAUAUGUUUAUAGUAGCAGUCGUUGCAUGCAUACUUACAGAUCUUACUUUAUAGUUGUCUUGCUACUAUAGUAGAUAUUCAUGUAUGCUUUCUGUUCCAGUUACAGUAGCGGUAGCCGUUUAUUCAGUAUAGUUCUUACUUCCUUUCAGUUUAUCGCUAUUGUAUAUCUGCUCAUUACCUUGUUUAUUUCCACUGACCCAUGUUGUUGUAUAGUUCUUCCUGAUCCGGUGAGUACUCCUCGCCUUCUUCGGCUUGCGGUACCCACUGGGAGGGGAGACAUGUUUACAUGUUCUCACCUCCCCCACCAUUUUUCAGGUAUCGCGGGCGUUGAGUAGUGGGACGAGACGUGAGGUACGUGUGUAGCGGUCGAUAGAGCUUCCGACCCAGGUUAUUUCGAUUUAGCUAUUACCCUUUUUAUUUCUGUGGAUAUUUAUAGCUUAGUCGGUCUACAUGGUUCAGUUUUGUUUUAUUAUUUGAAUAUCUGAGUUUUCAGUUGGUUUUGGAAUGUAAUAAAGGAAUUGUGUUUACUUGAAAUAAAAGGUUUUCUACCCCUCGCGGUAGCGUUUUUAAAGAAUAAAGGUUUCCGUAUAGGAAACAGUUUUCAAAAGGUUUUCUGUGGAUUUUGCAUCUUAGUAUUUCAAAACCUGUUUCUGUGGUUGGAAACAUUUUAACUGAUAGAUGUGGAUUUAUGUUUAAAUAUCGAUUAUAUAAAUGUGAACCUAUGAUGUGAAUGGUGUAUGAAUAUAUAAUUGUUGGUUAUUUGUAUGUUCAUCUGGUUGUGGUUGUAUCUGGGUUACUUCUUGUAUUUGUGUGACGCCGUACAAAUACAGGGGAGACUCUGUCCGUGUGAACAGUGGAAUGCCUGUGUUUGUGGCGGAUCUGGCAUACUCUGGGGUCAGGCUUUUCAAAAAAAAAAAAGAAAGAAAUUCAGACGCUUUUCCGCUAUGUUUUAAACUAAAAGGGACCCCGGGGCGUGACAUACUAUACGAAGUUAUCUAAUUUUUUUUUAAAAAGGAUUUAAUUUCUUUAAGCUUUAACAUUAUUGUUUCUAUAUUCGUUUUGUAGUGGGAUUUGAACCCACAGGAGAGUGCAUCAAACCCCUGAAGUAGGGACUUUCAAACUUGGAACAACACUUCUAUUUCUUACUUUAAUUAUCACUUCUAACAAUUAUAUAUUGUAUACAUUGCUAACAAUAUAGUUGUUUGAUUGCAUCAAUAAUUUACUCAAAGUUAUCUAAUUAAAAUCAAACUUUUAAAAUUAUUUGGAUCAUCUAUUUGCUAUUUAACCAAACUCUAUUAAACAUGAUUAAAUUUCAUGAUUUUAAAUUCUAGUGUACCUUAGAACUUGAGGGGGAGCUCUUUUAUCAGACUGAUAAAUUUUGAUAUUAUAUUUGCUCUAAUGAUUUCAUUUUUCUAAUGUUUAGCUUGUAAAUGAAAUUGGUAAAUUCUAAAAUUAAUAGACAUAUUAAAUUAAGACAGAAGUCUGCUAGAUGGCUAACCUCUCAUGAUAUUGUUUCUUUGAGUUUUAUCAGAUCUGAUCAGAAUCUUGCAGAUUGCUUGACGAAAGGCCUGAAUAGGAUUAAGGUCCUGGAGUCAUCGAGGGGGAUGGGAUUUUGCCCGUAAAGGGCCUUCCUGCAGUGGGAACCCAACUUUUGUGAUAGGAGAUCCCUUUAAUAAUGUUCAAUGUGGUAAAAACAAGCUGUCAGGUUGGCCAAAGAGCACCUUCUACAUUUUAUAUAGAGGAGUUUUAGCUCCAAUCCCAUUCCUAUGGUAAGUAGCGCUCUGUGUAGUGGAUUAGGUUGAGCUUAUAGCUCUUAAUGGGAUCCGAGGCGGUAAUUUUCACAAGAUGUGACUCUACACACAUCUCGGGAGAAAACUACCUAUAUAAGAGUAUCCGUAUGUGGCCGCGUCUAUGAGAUAUGGGCUGUCCAUAGAAGCUCUUAUGAAAAAUCAAGGUACUAUGCAUGGCCAUUAACGCACAGACCCGUGACGGAGAAUUCUAUACUGUGUGUGUGGUAGUUGAAGUCAGGGCCAAAGUGACGUAGUUCAAGACCUGGUUCACUCCGAUUCCUUCUGAUGGAAACUAUUUACAUUAAGUGAGGUUAAGUCUCUUAAAGACACCUUACCUAUUGUAUAGUAUAAACACCCGAUGAUUUAUUCAUCUUUUUGAGUUUAAUUCUUAUUUCGAAAUUUUGAAUUUUGUGGGGGAUUGUUGGAGAAAAUCCAAUAAUUUCUCAAUUACUAUUAUUAUUCUUUUAUUUUAUUAAUUCUUUUAUUCUCAUUUAUUAGUAUUUAUUGUUAUUUAUUUUAAUUAAUGAGAUGGAUUAAUUAGGUGGAAACGGUUUCCACUAUUGGAAUCCGUUGAGGAUUCCAAUGUUCAACCCAUUCUCUUUAUAAAUUAGAUUAUUCUGUUCAUGAUAUAUGAAUAUUGUAGAGAGAAGUAAAAGAGAUGAAAUUUUAUUUGUUUAAUAUUUUUAUCAUCGGGUGUUGCAAGAGUCUUCGUUAACCUCUCCUGCGUUCGUGCUCUUAGGAGGAGGAAUUCCGGUCGUACCUUGGGGUGGUGCUUCCGGUUAAUCCCGCACGUAAGCCGUAAGGACGGGAAUACGCCUUAGGGUAGUGCCACGCACGCUUCCGGAUCAAUCAAAUUAUUUAUUUGGAUUUUAGCGUUUAUUUGUAAGUCUGAUUUUAUCUUUAUCAAAAAAUUAGUUAGAUUUUUAAUCAUAAUCAGAUUUUCUAUGCGGUAUUUGUUCUAACAUAUAUAACCAAACAACCUCUAAAAGAAGCUCCUUUUCGUUCUGUCAUUAAUUUUUUGUCGAGAUGCCAACGAGUUGAAUUUGAAAUGAGUUUUCAAUAAUUUAAACCUAAAUCUGACUAUCGAAUCUGAAAUUUGAAUCUGAACCUAUAAAAUUGUCGGAUUUUAAAUUCAUAACUGAACCUGAACUUGACAUAAAAAUCGAAAUUCAAAUCCGAACUACAAAAACAUGAACCCGAAAACAAUCAUUUUUGUUUUCUAAUUUCCAAACAUAUUAUACUCAAAUUUAAAUUUUCAAAAUAAAAAAAACUAUCACAUUUGAAAAAAGUUAUAAAUAAUUAAUUUUUAAUAUAUUAUAUAACAUAAAGUUGGUUCAUGUUUGGGUUCAGUUUGAAUUCAGGUUUGGGUUUGGGUUUGGAUCCGGUAUAGAUAAAAACCAUAUACCAACACGAGUCUAUUGAUUUUUUAUUUUUUAUACCCAUAAUUGAAACCAGCUUGUUAACCAUCUGGGUAAACCCACUCCGGUUGGGUCCCAGUUCAGGCAAAAUAUUGGAUAUCCAUAUCCGUUGACAUCCCUAAUUCUAUGGGUAAACUUUGAUUUACCCUUUGUGGUUUAAUUCAUUUAUAAUUUAUUAUUUUAAAUUUUAAAAAGUUACAUUUAAUUAUUGUGUAGUUUUUUUUUUUUUUUUGUUUUAACCAUAAAGAACUUGUAUUAAUCUGGAUAGCUAGGUACGCAAAUCGAUCCAGUUUGGUGGUCUCCUAGCCAGAUCCACAUCGAAUAGGAUAGUAAAUAAGAGAUAAUAAAUUGAUUCGAGACAAAUUCAGGAAAUUUUUAAAAUUUUGAAAAAUUAGAUUAACUGAAUAAAUUCGGAAAGCAGUAGGCUUCGUCUGUAAAAUGGAACAGUUUUUAGUGAAAUGAAAAUUGCCACCCUCAAGGUCUGGUAGGAAGUCAUGGUGAGGCUCGUUUUUAGAUUAUGCGUGAUAAAAGCGCAGUUUAAAGAGGUUUACGACAAGUGAUCAAUAUAUAGGGUAGAAAUGGGUAUUUUGGUCAACGGUGCGACAUUUUAUGCGUCGAAUUAUAUGAAAGUCUAUAGAAAGGUGUUGGUCAAAAUACACACACAAUGAGUUUUUGAUACGAAACUCAAAGGUUGGAGGGUUAAAUUAUAAUUUUUGCAAACUCAAAAAACGGAGCACUUGGCAAAGAGGCUAUUAUUUUUUGGCUAAAUUACAGAAAACCCCCCUGUAAUAACCCGCUUUUUCACUUUCCCCCCUGACAUUUAAAAACCUACACUUUGCCCCCUUGUAAAAUGAAAAAUGUUCACGGGGGGGUCACGGUGUGUAAAAUGACCAUUUUGCCCCUCGCCAUUGUUGUCUUCUUCCUGAGCUUCCUCAGCCGCCCCUUCGAUCCACCGCUAUUUCCACCUCAAUCGGCCACGAUUCCUCUCCAAUUUCUUCUCCACCUGCUCCCCUUCUCCUCCUACACCGUCGCCGCCCAUCGAUUUCGGCGACAGUAGGGAGGAUACUAAGAUGGGUGUUGAUGGAGAGGUAGGCAGAGACAACGAGGGCGAAGGCGAGGCGGCGGAGGAGGACGAAAGGGAUGUGGGCGAGGGCGAAGCAGUGGAGGACGGCGAGGCGGCGAGGCGGCGAAGCGGCGAGCCGGAUGGAGCGAAGCAUCAGAGAAGAGGCAGAGGGGUAUUUUCGGUAUAAAAAAAUAUUUUUUAACAGAACCCCUAACGGAACCCUCACGGUAGGGGUGAAGUGCACAUUUUUUAUUUUACAAGGGGGCGAAGUGUAGGUUUUUAAAUGUCAGGGGGGGAAAGUGAAAAAGCGGGUUAUUACAGGGGGGUUUUCUGUAAUUUAGCCUUAUUUUUUUAUAAAAAAAAUUUAUAGUUUUGGCAAGCAGGGAGGAUCAAUGUGAAAAUAGACUUGGAGACGUUUGCGUGAAACUAAGUUUCACGAAAUCCGAGAGUUUAUGUGUGUUGAUGCCAAAAAAUUAGGCGAGAACGAUUGAGAAGUGGGGCGUAACUUCCAUAAUUAUGGUUACACCACUCCCCCACUACUAAAAACCGACCAAUAAUAUGGGCUGAGAAGACAUCACUAUAAAUAGUAACUUCGAAGCCUGUAAUAGGAGUCUUUCUCUCCCAUGAACGAGAAGACUACCGCAUUUUUAAUAUUUUUACUUUCUGCAUUUUUCUCGCAUUUUCUAGGAGUAGUCUACUUGUAAUCUUUUACUUUCCCGCACUUACUAUAUGCCCUCAGACACACUCGUCCUUUGUACUAGUUUCACAUAUUAAUUCCAAUAUAUAAAGGCAUUCGGCUCUUAAGCUGACCCAAAACACUGUGCUUUUCGUACAUUUGGCUCUUUCAGUCAAACUGAGUCUAUAGUAAAGGUCUUUGAACUUGGCUGAUCCAAUCCCUCCUCAGCCGAAUCGCUUGAUCCAGUCGAAGGGCGCAAACUUUAAGGGUCUUUAUUCGUAGCUGUUUCGCAUCCCUACACUCCUCCCGAGAGAGAUCUUUGACCGGGUCGAAGACCAGGGAAUUCGGCUCCUAACAAUUUUUGGCAUGCCCGGUGGGACAAAUUUUGGUAAAUUUCUUCUAUUUCAGAAAUUAUGGCAGAUAAUAAUGCCAUGAAUUUGCAUAAUAGAGUCGUUCCUCGAAAUUCCGGGAACGACCAUGCGAGCAAUUCUGGUAAUGUAGGUGAGCGCCAAGCAGUCUUACCAGUCGAAGGCGAGACUAGUGGUCAAUCUGACCAACAAGAACUAAGCUUGGCUCAAGCGCUUGGACAAAUGACACGGGCCCUACAAGUAUUGGACCAGAAUAGCCAUAGGAGUACUGUCACGCCCCGAGACCGCUACCGAUUUGGUCCGGUUCGGGCGCGUCGAACAGACGCCAAACGGACAACACCUCCCCUGUCCGCCCAAGGCUAAACAACCAAAUCGUGUACAAGAAUUUGCCCAGGAAAUGAAAUUCUAUACAUACACAAUCAACAAAGGGCACGACAAGUGCCAACAUCUAAGAGCAAGAAUCACAUGUACAUACAAGUGAAUAAAGAGAGAUCUACUAGCUAUUACAUAUAACGUUGCAUUCAUUUACCUCGAGUUACAUUUACAUCCUUUCCAAAAUGAAUACAUGGUUUACUAGAUAACCACCAAAAUACAUCCAUAGCUCUCCAAAUCCUCACCUACAUAAUUCACUCAUAUACAUAGGGUGAUGCUAAUGCAAAAAGGAAAGCUACUACGCUACUGCUCGGGCGCUAUACCCUUGCCACAGUCCUCGCACGGCGCGCUCGAACUAGGCCUUGCAACAAAGUGGGGUGAGAACUAUUGUCCAUAGUUUCCAGUGGGUUCUGCCGCAGAGUCCGCCGAUCUCCCCACUAGGUCCGAGUGGGCAAAAGCAGAUAUAUAGAUAGAUAGAUAAUGAAAGCAGUAAACGACACAGUAGGAAAACUAUGCUACUUUGCCCAAUCAAGAGUAAUGUAUGCAUGCAUCAUAUAGUAAAUGGUUUACUAACAUGCCACUAUGUCCACUACAAUGUCCAAUAAGCAAAUGUUCAAUGACAGUGCUGUUCUCUUGUUUAUCCAAUCUUUGGCGAUCCCUUGGGUUCACCCACGACUCACCUCGCCAUCCCGUAUUGUAAGGAGACUCACCUCGCUCUCAAACCCGGGACAAUCUGCGGGACAUCAACUCUGCCCCUCUCGUACCAUACUCCGGAGUGCACGACGACUUGUGUGGCGCGACCACUACAAGUAUAAAUAGACUCUGAGCUUAAUCCAUCCUCUCAACUCAAGGAUACCCUAUCAACUAGGGCUAGAAAUCACUCGGGAAUCCACCUAUCCUAAUGUCCAUGUGUAAGUGUUUAACUACACUAUGUUCUUGUUCAACGAGUCAUCACUAGGGAGUCCAUCUAUCCCUAAGUUCACAAACCACUAGUGUCACUUUGCACUAAAUUAGAUGCUACUUGUUCUGUUCAUUUGUCAACCACAUGCCACUCAUUAUGUCACUAGAAACCAUCGAGUCCAUCUCAUUUUCUCGGCACUGUAGGAUUCAAUGUCAUGACCCAAUCCUUACCUAUCCAUAAUACCAAGCAUUCAACUCACACUAUGAUAUCAAUUAGAAAGCAUAAAGAAUGGAAAACAAUGCAAUCCUACAAUGCAACAUGCAAAAGAUGCGAGAUCAUGGUAUACUAAGACAUAGAGAGGAACCCGGUUGCUUUGGGAUGACACCACCCACCUUUCGCCAAUGUCAAGGUGCUAAGAACGCUAUUCGGCACUUGCUUCAACGUCGCUUCGACCUGCUAGGUGGAAACGAAGCUCCAUCGGUCUUGUUUUGCCGAUAACUUUUCACCGGCUCGACGAAUGCUCAAUCCGUCUUCGCCAACGCGUUUAGACACCUAACAAUUAGGUUUAGAGGCCAUCAAUUGAGAUCAAAACUCACUAUUUAACAAAACCCCAAUUUGGAGCCCUAGGUUUGCAUCUAUGCAAACAACUCCAACAAAUCCCUAGAUUCUAGCAUUAAUCAACUAUUAAGCAUGCUAGAACUCUAAUCAAACCAUUUCUAGAGCUUUCAAUCCAAACCCUAGGUUUCUACCAUUGUAGGGCUCAAGAGCUUACCUUCAAGCUUGCUCUAAUGGUGAGGAGAGGAAGAAGAGGAUAACCAAAGUCCUUCUCCUAGCUUGCUUCCCUUCUUCUCAUUCCUUUCCUUCUUCUCUUUUUUCUUCUCCUUCUUCACUUCAAGAGAGAGGGAGAAAAGAGCUUAGAGAGAGAGAGGGAUGUGUUUGGGUGUGGGAAUGAGAGGGAGAGAGAGUGAUCCCCCCUCUACACCCCUCACUAAUGCCACAAUUGCAAUAAAACCCCUCAACUUUACUUCUCUCACAUAGCCCAAACUGGGCAAAUUUCAUGCUCAGGGACCGGUCUGUCCCUAAAAGGACCGGUCCCUGAGAGUCUCCCUUGCAGGCAGAGGACUCUGCCCAGCAUCCUAAGCACACGGGGACCGGUCUUCCCCGCCAGGGACCGGUCCCCAAGAGCAGAACUCUCAGGACUUAGCCAAAUUUUCCUUGCUUUCGAUGGUUGCGCAUACGGGGACCGGUCUCUCCCGCUAGGGACCGGUCCCCGAGAGCAAUACUUGUGCGCAGAGAUUUUCUGCCGCACACAAUGCUUACGAGAACCGGUCCCUCAUACCAGGGACCGAUCCUCGAGAGCAAAAUCUGCCAAGUGCAGAUUUUUGCACAGCUUGCUCUCGUGGAUCCGUUGCAAUGCUUUUUUUGGGUUUCUGACUUCUUCGGCCUUUCCGAAGCAUACCCACUCGACAAUUAGUCGAUUCUGAGCGAAGUCCAACUCUCGAAUUCUGAGAAUUCACUUCCUUACAAGUACUGCUCGAUUAGACGCCGUUUUGGCUGCAAUUACGGCCUCUCAUAAGAAUAUUACCCGAAUAGGGCAAUUAUUGACUCGAAACGAGCAGCCUGUAACAGGUCUACAAGGACCUGUAGUUGCACCGGUAUUACAAAAUCCUGUAACACCGGUGAAUAGUCAACCUCAACACCAGGGGGCACUUUUCAAGCGGCUUAUAGACUGGCUGGUGUAAAUGUCGAUCAACAAUCGGAGAUAGCCUGGGGGUUACCUCCUCCACCGCCAUUGGCAAUAUAUCAGCUCUAAAAUGUAGGGGCUAGGGCAGGGGGGCAAGCCCCGAAUAUGCAGGGGGUUAACCCGGCAGCGUAGAAUUUCGGGUUACCACUAGGACCAAAUCCAGUUCAAGCACAGGUACCUGUUCCCUUACAAGGAAAUAACAAUGAAAUCUAUGCUCAAAUUGAAGAAGCCAUCCGAAAUACUUUCGUAGUUGGAGCAGGGCCGGCAAUGCGGCCUGUAUUUAGAUCACCUUACCCUGCAAAUAUAGAUAUAGAACAUCUCUAUCCGGCAAAUUAAAAAAUACGAAAAUUUGAUAAAUUUUCUGGAGACGAGACCGAAAAUACGGUCGAGCACGUCGUGCGGUUAACGGCUCAAUGUCGAGAAGCCGCUGCAAAUCCUUUUCUGAAGCUCAGGUUGUUUAAUACUUCGUUAACUUAACCAAGACUGCAUUCACUUGGUAUAAAAGUCUACCGACCAAUUCUAUUCGAGAUUGGGACAAAUUGCAAAGCAAAUUUCAUGAACAGUUUUACAAAUCAGAGCUGGAAUUUUCGGUUGCUGAUCUAGCUCAGUUCAGGCAAAGAACAGGAGAAUCGAUUGAAGAAUGUUUGAACCGAUUCAAAUAUUCUGCAGUAAAGGUCUUCGAACUCGGCUGAUCCAAUCCCUUCUCAGCCGAAUCGCUUAAUCCAGUUGAAAGGUGCAAACUUUGAGGAUCAUUAUUUGUAGCCGUUCCGCAUCCCUACACUCUUCCCGAGAGAGAUCUUUGACCAGGUCAAAGACCAAGGAAUUCGGCUCCUAACAAUGUGCAAAAUGGCAUAGGUUUAAAGUCAGAUAGAAUUUAUGAUCAUAUGGUUUUUAGGUAAUGUGAUAUUUCAUGUACAAAGCACCACGAAAUGGUGUUGGGAGGACUAAUGCACAAAAUAAACAUGGUGGUAAGGGGACUGAGACAAGAAUACUGUAUUUUGUGGGAUUAACUUGCAUCUUUGCUUAUAUAUAUAGAUAAAUGCAUAUAUACAUACACGUAUAUAUAUGCAUAGUGAGGGAAUAGAAACCCUAACCCUGUGCUCCCCUUCCCUUAUCACAGUGCUGCCGGCCACCCCUCCAGCUAGGAUUUUGCCCAGCAAGGUUCUCUUUUUCUAUCUCUCUCGAUCUCUAGUACACACACACACACACACACACACACACACACACAGAUCUCCUUCUCGGAUUCUCUUUGCUCUUGGGCUGGCUGCAGUCACGGCGGGUCUGGCGACACGCCUCGCCGUCGCCAACGUUGCCCUAACCACUUUUGCUCAAUGUCUUAGCCAAGCUCAAGCUGGAGAGCUCGAGUAGAUCAUUCCAGAUCCGCCGUUGCCCUGCUGCUCCCAUGUCUCAACCACUGCACUCAAGGCCUCUUCCUAUCAAGGCCGAUCUCUUUGGGUCUGGGCGGCCCAAGUGCACUGCCCCUUGGGCCGCACAUGAAGUUGAGGAUGGAGGCUGCAUGCUGUUCUUUGUUGGUCUCAAACUAGGGUUUUCCUGGCCGAGCUCUUUGGUUUGGCUCAUCUGGUCCCCAAUGACAUUUCGACGGUGGAGCACGGUGCUCUCCAGUAUGAGUACAUCGUCUUGCUCAUCUCGGUUGCUGUCGGAAAGGCUUCCAAGGGCUAUUUUAAUGAUGUCAUGCCCGGAGGCCUCGAAACCAACGGUUAAGGUGCUCCAACUUCCUUCUCGGUCUUCGGUUGUGCUUCGGCUAGCAAGCAUGGAGUUCGGGAUGUCAAAACCUUUCGGACAACAUCAUUGGUUAGAUUUCGACAUCGCAGAACCAAUGGUAAGGCUCUAUACACUAUGUUUGUUUUAUUAUUUAUUACGCACCAGGUGUUUGUUGAAAUGCCUCUUUGAUAACUUCUGCAUCAUUGUUGUUUGGGACGGUAUUGUUUUGGUAGAGUAUGUUCGAACUUGAUGCCUAAGGCUUAGGAAUCCCUCAAUUCGGGAUUUAGGAUGAUCGACACAGAAUGUUCAAGGCCUAGUAAUCUCUCAAGUUGGAUUUCAAGGCGUGUGGCAUGGAAAUAGAGGUUUAAGUAUAUUACAUUGGUGAUUUUGGCUCCGAUAUUGUAGAGUCGAUUUUGUUGCUAGUUGCAAAAUGAAAAAGCUUUGUUGGCUAGUAGGAGACUCACUGGUGCAAAGCAUGGACCAUCAAGUGAUCGUAAAUAGGUUCAGGAGCCAAAAAGACAAUUUCUGGAAAAUCGGUACGACUUGCUUUAAGGUUUUCACACCUGUCUCUCACAAUUAGCGUGCGGCUAUCUUGACAUCCAAAAGUGAGUGUUUUAGGACAACAAGGAAGGUUGGGUGACUUUUGGAGUGUUUUAUGAAACACUUCGGGGCUGAACCAGAUCCUAAAGCUCGAAAAUCGGUCCAUUUCGGGGGUGGUUUAGUGUCGCGCGGGUUGCUGCUAUUCGUAGCAGUGUGUUAGCCUUAUGGGUUGGUCAUUAAGUGAGGUUCAACACCUUUAGUUGUAGUAAGAGAGCUGUGGGUGGUUAUGGUGCCGAAAUUUCGGUGUUCCAAUUUCUCAUUUUGGCGCACUUUUCAUGCUAUUGUCCUAACGACAUAAAAUUAAUGUUUUGGGAUGGAGUGUGUGACAGGCUAGGCAGCGGCAUGUUUUAGGAUACUUUGUAGGCUGGGGUGGUGUUUUGGCAAGCCAACGCAAUGAUUGGGCAAGUUUUCAAUGACUAUUUAUCGUGAUCCGAAAUUCCAAUCGUACGUCUAUUAGAAUUCAUGAUUUGAAUCAUGGGUUAGAAAUUAGCGAGUUUGGGCUAAUUACGGGUUGGGUUGAACUUUAUAUAGGUUUGGGGAGUAGAAUGAGGCACCAUUUGGGGGUUGACAACCAAAGUUUUGUUCACGAUAGAGGUGGGUGCUUCAAGCUGGUAGUCGAUGAGGUAGUAUUUACUCGAUUUUCUAUUUCUUUGCUCAUGAUUAAAUUACUUUAAGGCAUUCAUUUCCUUUUUACUCUACUUGUCGACUUGUUAGUUUUCUUUAUUAUGGCAUAUUUAUUACUAUCUUGUAUAGUGGUAGCUAGAUGGUUACUUGACAUAUAGAGUAGGCUUCUAUACUCCUUGACUAUCUGGGGUAUCGUAGGUCCAAGCAACAUGGCACCUUUCAAUUUCAUAAUGAUUCGAUUUUUUUAUCAUGGAUUUUGGUGUCUAUACACAACGGCAUUGGCUUCGGCUCUUGUAUCAGCUUUCUUUGCUGAAGAUUACUUGACCAUUUCAUAUGAUUGGUGACUACACUUGGGUGUAUUUAUAGAUAUCGUGUUGGUUUGGCUACCGACGAGGGGUGCACUAAUCCUGAUAGGUCGUUCAUUGUGACAAAUUGACUAGGUCAGUGCAUUGUAGUGAUAGGCACUGCCUGAAAUCGAUGGACCAAUACAACAGGUUCUGAGUUGGGUUCUAGAUUGGACAUUUCAUCCUCGAGGCAUAUUAGUUAGAUGGUUUUUCUUUUUUAGUGGAGGUUUCCCAUCAUAUGUCCUAUUCAUAUGCACGUCUUGCUACUGUAGGCAUUAUUUCCAUCUGAUCACAUGGUAGUUUGUGGAUUAGGUAUGUGCAUUGGACUAUCUGUCCUCUGAGCCAUGUAGUUGGAUAGAUUUCAUUGCAAUAACGACAUUCUGGCUUUACUUUCAUAUACACAUAUUGUCACGCCCAGCCCCGAGCAGAAGCCUACCCAGUACGCACAUAGACCCGUCGUAUGCCUAGUGCAUACUAGGCGUCUACGAUAAACAUGAUGGAAAUAACACAAAGAGUUAGGAACAUCUAACAUGAUAUCAGAGCAUACAAUAUAAUCUACUCUCUAAUAACAAGUAAUGAAAGGUAAGACAACUAUCAUAAACAUCUUCAAAGCACAAAUACAUCCAAGUAGCCAAAAGCACAACUACUAAUACAAUAUAGUCUCUAUACAUCAUGGACAUAAACAUCUUCCCAACUAACAUAAAAAAGAGAGGUGACCACCUAACAAGAACUCCGAGCUAUGUCAAGCUAGACGCGACCCCCUUGCCGCGAUCCCUAGCCUCUCCCGCUGUGGAUGACUCUGUAAACAAAAACAACAACACAAUGAGAAUGAGAACUAUUAGUCACUAGGUUUCAGUGGGUAAGCCGCCGACAUCAGCGAAUUACACCACUAGCUCACUGACACAUUAGUAAGUAUGUAUAACUAAUGUCAUAACAUGAAUAUUGAACAGGAAAUAAACUACUAGUACUACUAUGCCUCCACAUGCACUUGAUAUACAACAAGUAUAAAAACUACUCUAAUAAGAGUAAGCAUGCUAAUGUCAUGUCCACGAAUAUACACUAUCUAGCUAGUAGUGAUAGUUAAUUAAUCUAUUUGGUUCUCUUUACCCAAUUUACAAGGACCUACACAUGUGUAAUCUAGCUUGCGCCGUGCCUAAUGGCCUAGUGGUAGUAAACACUCCCCACGGAAACUUCGGCGCCCAAUCCCACAUGGGCGAGCAUGAUGUCAUGUAGGCCAACUCCGGAGUGCUGGCUUAUGGGGAGCGACCCUCACAAGCUUGUGCGAAUGAGCAAAUUUGCAACCAAGCAUGAUCCACAAUAGAAAGCUCUCGAUCGUCAUGUUUAAAACAUGGUAUGUCUUCUAACGACCCAUAGGUCGGAGUCUAUGUCAUAAUGUCAAGUUCUAGUCAUUUAACUAAGUCAUAUACAACAACAUUAAGUUCAUGCUGCUUGUUAUCAUAUAAAUGCCAUUUUCAACUUGUCUAUACAAGUAUUCUACAUGUUAUGUAAAGUAUGCUUCACAAGUUUAAUGAACCACACUCUCUACUACAUAGAGAUAUGACUAUGCCAUAUGUUAUAUGUAUAGCUAAUACAUCCAAAACUUCACUUAUAAUGCAUCUAACAUGAGUAUGCAUGAUUUCCAAUUUCACAAUAUUAACAAAGAUAUAGGGGGAGUUCAUCCAUUUCGGUGAGGUCAAACCCACCAGAUACUCCUCGGACUCUUUUGUUUGCUCGAACUAAGAUGCCUUCUAGCCUUCUAGCACUCUAACAAUAAUUCUAAAUGAAUUAGGAGCUUCUAAUAAGCCUCCCACAAAAUUUGUCCAAAAUUCAAUCCAAAAAUAGGUAGAAAAUACCUUAAAUAGAGAAGAACACUUUUCCACACUCCACUUGAGGUUGGGAUGCUUCAAUUCCAACCUAAAAGAGAGUUUAACCACCACCAAUUAAGUUUUAAAAGCUCAUCUAAGAAUAAUCCCAAAAGUAAGCUCCAAUUCUAUCAAUACAACCAAAAUCACAUAUAAGGUAGUAAAUAAGAAGCUAACCUUUCAAAAGCCCCAAACCAAACCAACCUUGAGCUAGGGUUGGAGGUUUAUCCUCAGAAAUACCCCCCUCUUCACUUCCACAACUCCAAAUACCACAAAACAAACCUCCAUAGAGAAAGAAAGGAAAAGAAGAUUAAUUCCAUCAAUUUCAUCAAUUUCCACCAAAAAAAUUGAAAAGAAAUCUAGAAAGAGAAAGAGAAGAGCUCACCGGCUAUUUUUCCAAGCUCCAGCACAAAGAUAAGCUAGCUGGGGUCGGUUGGGGGAUAAACAAGCUGCACAAUUACCAAAAGACCCCUUAACAACUCAAAAAAAAAAAAUCUGCCGCAUUGAGUACUGGUACUCAUAUUGGAGUACCGAUACCCGGUACUCAGACAUGCAAAACCAGAGCGUGAGAACCUUCGGGUUUAGUGCCAUGUACCGGUACCAGCUCGAUGCAGUACCGAUACUCAACCCAGUACCGGUACUCACCGACUCAGUACCGGUACUCAACACCCAACUUCUCAAAUCCGGGAGCAACCUAUUCUAGCAACCCCCAGGGGUACCGGUACCCUACUCAACCGGUACUCAACACUCAAAACCCUGCAGUUUGCAGAUUUUAGUGUCAGUAAUCCAAUCUCGCACUCAUAAAACUUAAGUCAGGUGUCGGUACACUACCGACAACCCUCCAAACAGUUAGAAUAGUUUUAAAUACUAUUCUUACAUUGGAACAUUACAAUUUGCUAAAGUUCAGUGUACUACACAUAUAUCUUGCGACUAUACAUUUUAUUCUCAUAUUCAUUAUAUCUAUCUACAUCUCUCUAUUAUAUUAUUUUUGGUGAAUAAGGUUUGCUUUUGUGGCUCUGUCAUGCCUACUAAGAAAUCUUAGGUCGGUUUCUCACCCCGCAUUUUUCGACAGGUGGUAUGAGUAGGGAGGUAGGUCAGAGUGCAGUAUGAGGUAUCUCGAUAUAGCUAGUUUGCACUAGUGGUCCCUUAUGGGUUCAUUAUCUCUUACCACUAUUCCUUAAUUGCUUAAUAAAUAGACAUUAAUGGUAGUUCAGCUAGACUAUUAAUGAAUGAAAGUUUGUUUUCUAAUUAUCUAUAUAUAUACUUUGUGAAAUGUCCCGAAGGGUUGGCAAUCGAAAUGACUAUAGUAGCAUUAGCUGAUUGACAUAUCUGUAGAGUGUCGGGAUGAGUCAAAGUCAUUUUGAAGCAAAAUGGAUGCAAAAUCUAACUCAGAACACUAAAACUAGCCAAAACUAAAGUUUUGGCAAGUUCCGGGCGCCCUGAAGAUGGAACUGGGUGCCUAGAAUCUCGGUGCAGAAUUGCAUUUGCUAUUGGAGUCAUUUCAGGCCUAUAUCCGGGCACCAAGUUGUGAGCCGAAAUUUGCUUGGUAGACAACUUCGUGUUUAUCAACCGUUGUUGACACGUGGCAGGAGGUGGUUUUGGAUGCAGGCGCAGGAUAAGGUUUUGGACCUUCUUACAGAGAGUGUAGAAUCCAGACUGCAUUUUGGGUAGAUUUGGGCACCCAGAAGUCAGUUUAGGGUGCCUGAAUUCUAGAUUUUCUGCGUUAGACAAGUUUAGGUUCUAUUUUUCUUCGGGCUAAUUUUAUCAUUCUUACUCAUCAAUAAAAGUGUGUGGAUGUUGUUUAUUAACUCUUUUCCAUUCCUCUUCAUAGUAAACUCCAUUUCUACAGCAUUUAAUCUUCCAAUUCCUUUCCAAAUCUCUCCAAACCUUCUCUUCGUCCUUGCUGGCUAGCAACAACAAUAGGAAUAGUGCCAGCAGGAGCUACUAGUUUUAAGUGUGGGAUAAUUUUGGGACUUCCAUUUGUUGUGGUGGUUUGAUUUGUGAUUUUAGUAUUAGAGGAGAGGUUGUGGAGCAAAUCCUAGAAUCUUAAUUAUAGGUUCGUAGGUCUAAAUUGAUGUAAAUUUGAGGAUUGAGCAAAAAUUAGAGAUUUGGUUGGAUUUUUAUGGAUUUUGCUUAUUUGAUUCUUGUAGCUGGAUCAUUGUUGGUUUUGAGUUGGUUUUUCCUACACUUCUUGUAGAGUUGGAGCUGGGUCUAGCUGGAUUAUAGGUUAGUGUGCUGAAAUUGAAGCUUAAUUUAGAUUUUUGAAACCGAAUUGAGUUUUCAAUGGAUUUUUGAAUCUAAUUUUUUUUUUGGUAAAUUUCUUGUUUGUUGUGUUUAGUUGGACUUUUCCACUGGUUUUGGGCUGGAAAGCUUGAUUUUUUUCAUUCCUAGCUGGUAGUAUUGGUCUACAUUUUCGCUAAAAUUCAGAAUUUUCUUUUAUUUUCUGCAUUGUUGAUUUUUUGGGCCUCACUUUCUUCAUCCGAUUAGUAUACCUGAGUUGUGGGGAACUUUUCUCAAAUUUUCUUUUAAAUCUUGGAGUGUUAGAGUUAUCCACAGCUGGUUGUUGAGGUAUAUACUUUGGAUUAAUCUUGAUCUAAUUCCACUCGUUGUAGCUGAAAUGCUUGUAUAUGACUACGUUGUUUGUUCGAUUACUCUAGUUGCAUUCCUACAACAUUUCUGGAGUUUCUCUUGAUCCCUAUAUAGGGAGAGGAGGUUUUGAACUGAGCAUUUCAUUUUCAUGGUUGGAUAAGCACCCUAGGUGGGUUUAAUUUACCGAAAACAUCGGACUUCUCAGUAUCUCAUAGAUUCCUGCAUGCAUGCUUUAUUUGUUAAAUUGGAAUAUUCUAGCUUAGAAUGAUUGAAUUAGUAUGGAUAAUGCUGAAAAUUUGAAUCUUGAGCAUGUUAAAACUGCAUGCAAAAAGAUUUUAAAUGUUGAAAUUAGGCCUCAACAAUGUAGAAAACUGGCAUUAUGACAUUUUUAUGCUCCGUCGAUAGUAUUUAGCUUCGGUAGCUAUUUUUAUCUAUUUUUCACCCUAGUUGGAGGGUUGUGAGCAUUCAGAUUAUUGUAGGAUGACUUUACGCUCCUGCUGAGGGGUUAAGUGAAUUUUUAUAGCAGUUGUUAGACUAAGUUGUGUAGGUUAUGCGGAAUCCUAGGAUCUAUCGAGAUACUAUCAAACAUCUAGAGGGGGGUGAAUAGGUGAAUAGGUCAAAAACACAAAUCUCAAUGCAAUAAAAAUAAAUGCGAAAAAUAAAACCAUACUGAGAUUUACGUGGAAAAACUCCAAUUUAGAGAAAAACCUACGGGACCAACACGCGAAAAAGUAAUCCACUAUGAGUAAAAGAUUACAAGGUGAUUACCGAUUCCACGGACUUGACCUCUCUUUUACCACCUACGGAUCUUGCGCACGUCACCGAAUUGUCCACGCCCCAUGUCCGAAUCUACGAUGCCACUCAAAUCCUCGAGCACUCACGAUUUAAAUCCACGAAUCGCCGUGAUCAUGCCGAAUCCACGAUGCUGCUCACAAAGAGAAAAUGCAUGUUUCUAUAGUGAUCCUUUGUUUAGAGUAUCAUUAAAGAACUAGAGAAAGGUCUUUUCUAAGCAAAUCGUAGAUCAAUUCGAUAUAUGCAUAUUGAAUUUCAAUAUCUCGAAUUGAUCUAAAGAGGCUAUUUGGUGGAGAAAGGUUAAGAACGAAAACCCUAACCUCAAGGGUUAUUCUCUCAUGAAUUCUGAGUGCUUCAACGUCAUAGAGAACUCUAACAUUGUAUUUAUCGACUUUAGAAUCAAUUAGAGUCAUAUUAGAAUCAGAAUUAGAAAAUCUGUACACUGAGUACCGGUACUCGGAUGUGGGCAUCUAUAUGCCAUGACGCAACAAGAAUUUCCUAACCUGGAGUAUCGGUACUCAGCCAAUGAAUGCAGUACUGGUACCACGUAACUCAGUACCGGUACUCAAACUGGUACUGGUACAUAAUUCAAUUUAUAGAAUUGCUACUCUCGGAUUUUGAGGAACUCAAUAUUGGGUUCUGACACUCAAUAUAAAAUAUCAAGUUUUUCAACGUGGUUUUGAGGAACUGAAACCUGGUACUAGAAUUCAAUAUAAAAUAUUGUUAUAAAUGAAUCAACAGCUCCAAAAGUACCACUUCUAAUCCACUAGUCAUCACUUAUAUGAUUCUAACGCCGUAAAUUGAUGUAAAUCACCAUAAUAUCUAAAUCAUACCUGAGUAUCGUGAUUCAACCUGUUAGAUGUUUUUGAAUUCUUCUCGGAUUCUCGGAUUCUUCAACCGUCGAUAGUGGAAACCGAACACGAACCAAACCCUUCAAGACUUCGACUCAAAUCACGAAAUAUACCAAUAAAAAUCCCUAACAAUCUCCCAUUUUGGCAAUUUUGUGAUAAAACCCAAAAUCAAAAAAUGAAGUUCAAUGUCAUCACCAAAACAUCGAAUCUCUUGCAUGUAAGAUCCAAACAAAAAUUACACAUAAACACCUAAAAACAAACUUUAUGACUUAGGACUUGGAGUCUUGAAGUCUUCAACAAUAUCCCCUUCAUCAUUCAAAAGUAUCUUGUCCUCCUUUGUUCAUCAUGAAAUUGUUUUGUGUUCCUGAUUCCUGUCAAUGCUCUCCCAUUUUUUGUCAAAAAUUGCCAAAAAGAAAGCAUAGAGAGAAAACAUAUUGCGAUAAAGAGUAGUAGCUAGUUAAUAGUUACAGGACCAAAAUACAGUAGUUAGUUGUUACUUCCUACAAGCAAAGACAAAAGAGAUAAACUAAAGUACGGAAGAGAAAACAUCACUCAUCACCUCCAUCAUCAUCAUCAUCUUUUUCUUAUGCUUCGUUAGCGCAAUGUGCUCCUUUUCCUACAGUAGACGGUUCGAUAGUGUGUGAUGAACUUGGUCUAGCAGUGCCAGGUACAAUAUCGUCAUGUAUGUCGGUAGCCCAGAAUAUCCAGAAUUCUCUUUACGCCACACUCUACCUUUUUAAACCUUUUCUCCAUUUUCUUAAAACCUUGUUCGACCUACUUCUUCAUAGAGCGAACUUCAUGAUAAAGUGAUUCUAUAGUAACCACUCCCCCUGAGCUGGAAGAUCCCUCAUAUUCUGCUGGUCGAGCGGCUGAACCAGAAAUAGCAGUUGUGUAAGCUUUGACUUGCUGAAAGGUCUUCAAGUGCUAAUUGACUUGGCCAACAUGACACCAUCAAUCGGACCUAGGCCAUAAUCAUACUUGUUACACAUGGUAUUUACACCAUUAUCUUUCAAAAUUCUCGUAAUCAAAAUAGAAAAUGGGAGUAGCUCACGUUGUCCCAAGGUCUGAAUUACAUGAGCCAUCUUUUGCCACAUCAAGAAAGGAAUGCUGAUGUUCAAACCUUAAGCACGCUCCGGGUGACCAAGAAGAAGAGAAGGAUAAGACAAUCCCAACGAAUUCUCUUAGUCCUUAUGGUCGGCAAUAUGUUAUAACAGAUAAUCAAGGAGAGAAUAUGAUAUUCCAGCCUUAAAUCCUUGGAUUCUACAAACAAGGGAUUUGUCCAAGUUCCAGGUUUGCAGAUUGCAUUGAUCAUAGUGUUCUAGUGAGAAGAAUGUUGAAUCGUCCUAUGUGUAUAUUGCAGACCAAUGAUAUUCACAUUCAAUCUAAACAUUGCACCGAUAGUAUAUGGAGUUACAACAAUCUUCUUGCCACGAACCGAUGUCUAAAAUUUAUAAUUUCCUAUUUCUUGAUCCUCGAAAAGAACCUUCCCACACAUAUGAAACAUUCGUAUAAGUUCAACACAAAACACUUCACGCGCCUGGAUUCUUCCAAUUGGUUAAAUGGGAGCACUUUGCAGUGAUUGUCCAAACUCCGGAACCUCUCUUACGAGCUCAUUGAAGUUCACGUAUCGCUCUCUUAAGCAUGUUUUGCUUACAAAAGCCUUUUGUCAUUGAGCAUCGACAGAUUGUGCUUCCGCGGCAUGUUUAGACCAUCGUUCACGUUCACUUGAACCUUGCUCUCGAAUGACCGGACCACAUGUGCAUCGUCGAGGAGGGUAACUUGCACCUUUUUUCUUCCUUAAGGUCUUAGGUGCUUUUCUUUUUCCUCUCACAGUUCGUGCCUUAGCUUCAGCUUCAGCUUCUCUCUCGGAUGAACUUUCACGAUAUUUAGACUUAGAACUUGUAGUGUCUUCCUCAAUACGUGUUCUUUUAGAAGAUCCUCUGCAUCCACGUACGUCCAUGACCACGACCUCCUCCAGAGGCCAUUAACACCACCAGUACAAGAAGAAUCGAGAAAGCAAUUGCCCUGUGUAACAUGUGAGGUGUAUAUUAGAUUUAACACAUUCACAGUAUUCAGAAAUCUGUAAAGUAGUGUAACAAAAGUUCUAAACAAGUGUAAACAGUAGAAUAUUGAAUUUCCCUUGAAAACAAACAAUAAAAUCCAUGUAAAAUAACUACACAACAAAAACCUCAAAUUCUGCCACGAAAACAUGCUAUAGAUCUUAGAUUCAUAAUAAAUAUGCAUUAUUUACAAAUCUAAGGGUACAAGAAUUAAGCAUGCAUGUAACUAAUGCCAAUUAGAGCAAAAAUUUGCAAAAAAAUUCACGAAAAGCAAAGAUCUCUUUCAGCCCAACAAAAAUAUUAAAAACUAAAAAACUGGGGUUUCGAAGAUGAAGAGAUGAGUUUUGAAGAGCAAACUUACAAAUUGAUGCUUGAAACUCAAAGAUCUAGAUGAGAAUGAUGUUAGAAAAUUUUUAGAGAGAGAAAGAGAGUUUUGGUUGAGUUUGAAGUGGAAAUAAAACUCUCAUACCAGUANUCUCUUUCAGCCCAACAAAAAUAUUAAAAACUAAAAAACUGGGGUUUCGAAGAUGAAGAGAUGAGUUUUGAAGAGCAAACUUACAAAUUGAUGCUUGAAACUCAAAGAUCUAGAUGAGAAUGAUGUUAGAAAAUUUUUAGAGAGAGAAAGAGAGUUUUGGUUGAGUUUGAAGUGGAAAUAAAACUCUCAUACCAGUAUUAAAUAUUAGUUCUGCAGCCGUAGUACCGGUACUCAAAAACGCGUACUGGUACUCAAUAAAAAGUUCAGUUUUAAAAUGUUCAGGUUUUGCGGAAUCUGACUCUAGUAUCGACAUCCUGUGUUCUGGUACCCAAUUUGAGUACCGGUACCCAAUGCCCGAAUAAGUUAACUUCAUAUCUAUUUCAUACAAUUCAAGUUAAUUUUAUAAAAAUUGAGAAUUGUACUUCGAAAUUGUCACGAUGAAAAUAAAAUAUUAUACAAUUUCUUAAUCCGUAUAUACGUCAAAAUUAAGUCAUCAAAGAUAAUCUAAUGGCUUAAAAACUGUCAAGAUGUAAGGGAUUAUGAAGAUGACUUAUAAAGAUUUACCAAAAAUGACACAAAUUUGUCAUAAACAUUCAAAUUUGAGACUAAGCAAACAAAGCACCGGGGAUGGCUCUUUGAGUAUGUUUUCAACAUACCGCCUUAUAACUCCAAAAAAAUAUUUAAAUUAUGCACACUUUUUCAACCUUUUCGGUUAUGCAUUUAAUAUCCAUGUGGUAGCUUCACACACUUAUCGGACGACCAGGCGGUAGCUCUUUCUUACAUGUAGUGUUAGUUUUCAUACUCCCUUUAGAGAUGUAACUCUUUUCACGUCUUUCAAUAUUUUAGGAGCAUUUUUCAUAUCAAUUUUUAUAAUAAUAACAACUCUCCCUAAAUUAAGGAAUCUCGCAUUUGAAAGAAAAUUUGACAAAUUUUAGUCCAUUAGCGAAUGUGUCACGCCCCGCGACCGCCAAUUUGGUCAGUUUGGGCACGUACACAGACGCCGGACAGACAGAGCUUCCCCUGUCCGCCCAAGGCCCCACAAGUUCACAAACAUGUAUAAAGAAUUGCCCAGGAAGAAUUACGAUAUACAUGACUUGCACGAAGGCAAGUAACAAGAGCAAGUGAAAGUAAAUCCUAACUAUUACAUCCAUUCACUAAACUUGAUUACAUCUAACCAAAAUACAAAUCUUUUACAUCUGUCUUUAUAUACAAUUUUGUCUCCCAAAAAACAUCCUUUUCGUCAUAUACAAAAGAUGAAAUAAGGGUACAACUAAUACACGGGUGUCCACUGCCUAGGGCGCUAUGCCCUUGCCGCGAUCCUCGACCUCCUCGCUCGCGCUCGGAUCUAUAAAAAUGGUGGGGUGAGAACUACAAAAAGUUCCUACUGGGUUCGGCAACCGACCCCACCGACUUUCCCAUUAGGUCUAAUCAGGCAUGAGUAGAGAAAAACAGAUAGAUAGAUAGCCAUUUUUAAACAAAUGCAGCUACUAUGCCUGGCAAGGAUAAUGAAACAAUAUAUAUAUAUAUAUAUAUAUAUAUGAUGCCCAUUAUGCAUAUAGAUUGUCUUUGCCAAUACCCAAUCCUCUUGGCUAGCCCGUAGGUUUAGCCCCAAAACUCGCCAACCAAAAAUCCCUACAAUCGGGGAGAUACCGCUACAACCCGACGGGAUUGUCUUCUAGGGAGAUACCGUUACGACCUAGUGAUGACCACUCCGGAGCUCAUCGCUUUAGGGGGAGCGACCGCCCUCAAGCAUAAGACUCUAGGUGAGUAUAAUCCAAUCCACAAGCCAUGAGGAUGCCAUGUCCAAUAAUGCCACAACAUGCAAAGUGUUCCAUUCACUAGCAUUCAAUACUACAAUGUGCUAUUUCAAUCAUUUGUUACAAUGUCACCAUAUUUUAUACCUUGGCUAGAUUCAUAUCUCAAUUCAUGCAUCUAUAGGGUACCCAAAUGUCCAAUGUUCCAUUGCCAAAUUAUAUGCAUCUUUACAUUAAAAGCAUGCAAGAAGUACCAACAUGUUUACCAUUUAACCCUACAAUGCAUGAAUCCUACACAUACACAUACAUGCUCAAAUGGUGACUUAGACAUAAAGAGAAAUUCAACUGUUUCGGAUAGCACCACCUACCUUGUAGGGAUGUUGGAGUGCUAGAACUCGAGUUCCACGAUUUAUGGUCGCCGCUUUCUCUUGACCCAACGCUAACGAUGCCGAAAUGAGGUUUUUCCUCAAUAACUCGGCAUAGACUUGUUGGAACUUUGAUCCGAGUCUCGCAACAAGUCAGUUUAUACUUCAAUUAGGGCUACAAGAGAUCAAUUCCAUCUUAGACCUCAAUUCCACAAAAAUCCUAAAUUUAACCCUAAGAUUUCCAUCAUCAACAAAUACCCAAAUUUCUUGGGAAUUCAUGAGUUAAUCUAACAUAAUAUCUUCUAGGAACAAUAACUAAAAGAGAUUUAGCCAAACCCUAGCUCAUAUCCACAUGAACUCACCUCAACUUCUAGCUUCUUCCUCAACUCCUUGCACAAGAGCUAGCUUCACUCCCAAGCAAGCUUCCUUCUCCUCCAAGCUCCACUCUUGGAGUAAACCCUAAAGAGAGAAAGAGAGAAAGGGAGAGAGUAGAGGGUGAGAGAAGGUUCUAGAGAGAGAAAGAGAGCUUCUUCUCUUUGGUCUCAUGUGAGGGAAAUGAGGGCUAAGGGUAUAGAACCUAUAUAUUAACCCUCCCAAACGACAUUUGCAUCAAGGCCCCUCACAAAACUGAUAUUUUGGACCACCCAAAAUUGCUGCGUGUUCAGGGUCCAGAUCUUGCACUCAGGGUCCAAACCCUGAAAGCAAUUUUUGCAGCUUCACAACUAGGGUCCGGACCUUGCUGCCACGGUACGGACCCCGGGAGCAACGAACCUCACCAUCUCGACCACCACCACACUUCGAUCAAUUUGACUGAAGUUCGGUACAUCCUAUCAGGGAUUCGGCAAAUAGUGGCCCACAAAAUCAAGAGUGUGGCCGAUCAUGGGGAGUAACUGAAUAAGCGGGCGGAGCUAUAAAUAACGAAAUGACUGACAAAAGGGUGUCUUUUUCCCUGCGAACAAUAAGACCAAUUUCUUUUUUCUUUCAUUUUCCGCUUUCUAGUAGUAGUCUAUUCACAAUCCCUUUUCUUUUUCUAUAUUUAUUGUCUUUCCUAAGAGUAGUCUUUAGGUUAGUAUUGCCUCUAAGAUCGUACGCCAUAUCGGGGCACUCUUUUCUAAAACAUUUUCUAGUUUUAAGUAAUAUAUAAGCAUCUUUGCUCUUCAGCCAAACUUAAAAAUAUUGUGCAAUCUCCAGACUCAGCUGAUCCAACCGAAUUGAAAACACUGUUUAAUCUUUGAAUUCGGCUGAUCCGAUCCAUCAUCAGCCGAAUCGCUUGAUUCGAUUGCGGGUGCUAACUUCGAGGGUCGCCGUCAAUAGCCGCUCUAUCUCCUUGCACAUUUUUCGAAGGAGGACUUUUGAUCGAGGCAGUGGUCAAGAAAAUCAGCUUGCAGUAAUUUUUGACACGCCCGAUAGGACACUUUAGGUAAUCUUUCACUUAUUUUGCUUUCUAUUAUGACUGACGAUAAUACUACGAAUCUCCACAACCGUGUUGUUCCUCAAUUUUUGGAGAAUGACCAGGCAAGUAGCAGGAAAAAUGCAAAUAAGCAUCACGCUGUAUUGCUAGUCGAGAAUGAAACCAGCAGACAGUCGACUCAUGAAGAGUUGAGUUUAGCUUAGGCACUUAGACAGUUGAUUCGAGUCUUGCAGGUUUUAGACCAAAAUAGUCAUCGAAGCAUUGCUCGUCUAGACUAGUAUUGGCCGCUAUCACGGCCUCCAAUGAAAAAAUUACUCGAAUUGGGCAAUUAUUGGCACGAAAUGAGCAACCAGUGAUGGGUCAAUAAGGACCUUCAGUUACGGCAGUGUUACAAAAUCAAGUUACACCAGCAAUCACGCAGCCUCAAGUAACACCAUUUCAAGCUACAUAAAAAUCGGCGAAUGCGAAUGCCGGUCAACAACCCGAAGUGGCUUAGGGUUUACCUCCUCCACCACCUUUCGGCUUAUUAGCCCCAAAAUAUGGGGAUAAGGGCUAGGGGCAAGGCUCCAAUAAUAUGCAAGGAUCUAUUCCUGCAAUGCAGAAUUUGGAGCUUCCUCCAGGGCCGAAUCCGGCUCGAACAUAGGCCCAUGUUCCUGUAAUAGAGAACAAUAAUGAAUUGUAUGCUCAAAUUGAAAAAGCUAUCCGAAAUACUUUUAGAGUAGGAGCUAGGCCGGCAAUACGGCUUGUAUUUCAAUCUUCUCAUCCCAUAAACAUCGACAUAGAACAUUCUUAUCUAGCAAAUUGAAAAAUAUCUAAAUUUGAUAAAUUCUCUAGUGUUGAGAGCGAAAACAUGGUCGAACAUGUGGCGCGGUUCACAGCCCAAUGUAGGGAAGCAGCUGCAAAUCUUUUUUUGAAACUUCGAUAUUUUAACACGUUGUUAAAUAAAACGGCGUUUACUUGGUACACCAGUCUGCCUGCCAAUUUUGUUCGAGAUUGGGACGAACUGGAUAGAAAUUUCAUAAGCAAUUUUAUAGAUUAGACCAGAAUUAUCGGUAGCUGAUUUGGCUCAAUGUCGAUAAAAGCCGAGAGAAUCGGUCAAAGAAUAUUUAAACCAAUUCAAAACAGUAAGGAAUUCAAAACUGUGUUUUGUUAGAAUGCCAGAAUCAGAAUUUGCCGGAUGGCAUUUAACAGUCUACAUUUCAAAAUCAAAGAUCACUUUGAAUAUAAGUAUUUUUUAAAUUUGUUUGAUUUCAAUGUUCAAGUUGCGCAGUAUGAGCAAUUCAGGAAAGGAAACAAUGACGAUGAGCCAAGAUGGAGCCAAAAUAAAAAUUGGAAUAAGGAAAAAGAAAAGAAUAUUUUGUUCAUUGAAGAAACUUCGGCUCAAGAUAGGUCGAAUACUUCGGAUGAAAAAGAAGAUUCGGCUGAUGAGGCCGAAGUUUAUAUAGAGCGUAGAGCGCGAUUGGGGCGGUCGGAUAUGGAUGUGGAUGCGUUUACUAGUGACGAUGAAAUGAAGUAAAUUGUUUCAACAUCUCCGUGAUCUCACCUCUUGUGGAUGGUAGGCUAAGGGCCAUUGAAAAAAAAGGAAACAAAUGUGAGUAAAUGCAACGAAAAGCGAAGAGUCAUUUGAAAAAACGGCUUAGGGUCCCACCUCCCUCAAAUUAAGGGGUACAUCUAUGUAAGAUUUAGGGAUGAGAAUUCAUGUAUAUAUAGAACUAGUGAAGUUACCCGCAUUGCGGCGGAAUGAUGCUAUAGAGGACAAAAUAUAAACAAAAUAAAAAUUUUAAAAUUUUUUGACUUACAUGAGACUUCAAUAAAUACAAAUAGAAGAUAAAAAAUAGAUAUAGGUAUAGAUGUAGCAAAAUUUAUAAUUUCAGUAAAUAAAUUAGAUAUAACAACAAUGAAAGAAGCAACAAAAAGAGUUUCCACCCCAUACACAGCUUGAUCGCAUUUCGACAUCCGGGAGGCGAAUCCCGAUUUUUACGUCGCCUUCGCCGCUAGUGUCGAGUUUCUUCUUAGUCACGAUCAUGUCUAUCCCAUACAAAUCCUCCCACACUCGUUACAUCUUCCCCCUCACUAACUCCAAAUCCAUCGUCGCUUCUUUCUACCGCACCCCACCAGGAUCCCCGGAACCUUAAUUUCAAUCCACACACGAUUUAAAAAAACAGGAAAAGAAUUUAAAAAAGCUACAAAACAUGAACCCUUCUUGAGCGCCAAGAAAAAAGAGAAAAAAAAUAAUAUGAGAAAAAAAAGUAUGAAGAAAUCUAAUUUUACUCAUUUGUUCUUGUGAAAUUAAUUUAUUUAGAUGACUGACCAUGUAAACAUAUUAAUUGAGAGGUAGGGAUUAGGAAGAUGAAGCAUUGGGUAGAGAUGAGAGUGGGAAGAUGGAAGGCAAGGGUGAAGGAGGAUUCGCCAUGUGGCAAAAGUUUAGGAGAAAUAAUGUAUAGGUACAGAAGUUUAGAAGAAAUAAUGUAUAGGUAUAGAUAGAUAGAUAUAGAUAUAGAUAUAGAUAUAGAAUAUAGGUAUAGAUACAAAUAUCUAUUUACAAGGGUGUUAUAGAAAAUUUUAUUGGUACGCCUCAAUUAUUUCCGUAUUGAACAAAACACAGAAUUUGUAUAAAUACAUGUAUUCUACGGGGCGAAGCAAACAAACACAUUUCUACAAUAUUAAAAUUUGAUUUUCGGAUAAUAAUUUAUACACAUUUAAACUUUUGCUGGAAUUAUAAAAUUGUGAAUUUAAUGGGCCUUUAGGGUUUAUGUAGGAUGACAUGGAAGUAUUAUAAAAAUUAAAAAUAAAAAAAUUAAAUAUAUUUAAUAAGAUAUUUAUUUCAAGCGUGAAAUAGUCAAUUUACAUAAAAGUCAAUUUUAAUUAAUUGGUCAAUUAACGGAGAGGAACAUAUUUGCAAAUUAUGUAAUCUUCGAGAGAUAUAUUUGAAAACUAAAAUUUUGCAUGAACAGUUAAUUUCAUUACUUUGUAGGAAUAUUUAUGCUGUUAAUCUUACAAAAUUUAGCUAAACAUGUAUAGAAUUUUCCUCAAUUAUCAUCAAUUUUGAUCUCGCUACUUAACCUUGAACAAUUUUGAUUUUUCUACCUAAACUUUUAAUUAUUUAAUUUGAGAAAGUUAAUGACUCUUUAACUUCAAAAUUUGAAUGCAUUAUUUAUCCUUAAGAAUUUAAUUAGUAUAUUUUAUACAAACUAUAAAUUUAUCAAAAUAAGCAAUUAGCAUAAAUUUUAUAUCAGAAGACCCUCAAAUAACUUAAAUCCAAUAAAUCUAAAGUUACGGUACAACAACUAAAUUUUUUUGAAGUUGGAUAUUCAAAUCAAUAUAAUUUAUGACUCUGGAAUUUAAUUCUUCUAACACUAAUAAACUAGUAAAAAUAUAUUAAUAUAUUUUUGUUCCCAUAGUGUGCCUUUGAGGCAAAAACGUAUAUGGUCUAUCUAAACUAUGAACCAAUUUGAAUUGGCUACUCAACAUAUGAAAAUUUUGAUUUUACUACCAACCUUUUAAUUUUCUUGAUUUGAGUUAGUUGAUGGUAAUUUGACUUCAAUAUUUAAGUUAAUUUCAUAGUUUAAGAAAUUUAUGGUUAUGAGAAUUACGUGAAAUAUGCUAACGAAAUUUGUAAAGAUAAACAGUACGUAUAUUCAAAUUUUGAAGGUAAUGUGCCAUUGACCGACUCAAAUCAAAUAAUUAAAAAAUUGUAUAGUACAAUCAAAAUUUUUAAAAAAUGAAUAGUUGACUUAAAAUUGAUUCAUAGUGCAAAUAAGUUUUAUAAAAAUAGAAUGUAUGUGUAGUUAUAUAGUGAGAAGUAGAAAAUGUCCCGCGGAAUUUAAUUCUUCUAACUCUAAUGAAUUAUAAAAAUAUUUUAAUAUAGUUUUUUUUUCUCAUAGUGUUCUUUGAGGUGAAAAUAUAUAGAAAAUUCAUCUCAACUAUGUACUAUUUUGAAUCGGCUACUUAACCUUUAAAAAUUUGGAUUUUGCUACGAACCUUUUAAUUUGCUUGAUUUGAGUUAGUCGAUGAUAAUUUGACUUCAAUAUUUAUGUUAAUUAUCUAGUUUAAUAAAUUUAUGGUUAUGAAAAUUAUAUGAAAUAUACUAGCGAAACCCGUAAAGAUAGAUAACAUAUUCACAUUUUGAAGGUAACGUGCCGUUGACGGACUCAAAUCAAACAAAUUGAAAAGUUGCAUCGUCCAAUCAAAAUUUUAAAAAAUUAGAUAGUUGACUUAAAAUUGAUUCAUAGUGCAAAUAAGUUUUAUAUAUUUUUUCUUUCUUAGAUAACAUUUUAUUAUUUUUGUUUCUGAUGUACUGGCAUUCACGUGUCCAAUUAUAAGCUGAAUUAUUUAUGCUCAACUAGUGUACUGAUCCGCGUGUUACGGCGGGUAGAUACUAUUAAAGUAAAAAUUUAUAAAGAAUAAAAUAUUAUUUUAAUAAAAAAAAGUAAAUAUAGUCUAUAUUAUUGACAAACACUUUUUUUUAACAAAAAAACUAUAAUGAAAAAGAAUCAAUCGUUUCAAUAAAAUUAUUUAAUUUUGUUCAAAAGAGGUCGCAUAUCAUGCAAAUGGCUGAUUAAAAUUAUUUUUUUUAACACAAUAAUAAAAAAAAUAUCAUAUGGCAGUUAAUAUGAGUAUAUGACUAAAAAAAGACCCACAAUAAUAUAUAAGACAAUUUAUAAGUAUUUUACAUAUAUAUUAUUUUUAAUCAAUUAAUUGACUCCGAAUAUGAAACACAACAAAGGUUCGAAUUUGUAAAUUUAAGGAAGAGGGUGGAAGUCCAAAAGGUAAUGGAAAGGGAUAAAAAAAACUUUUUAGGCCUUAGUAAAUUUAAAGAAAAUGAGAAAAAUUAAAAAAAAAAGAAGUAGGCCCCACUCCUCCUCAAAUUAAAGAGGUGGGUAUAUGUAGGAUUUAGUAAUGAGGAUUAAUGUAUAAGUAUAGAUUUGAGAUGUCAAACGCGUCUGACCCAGCAUUGAGGAGGAAGUCUACUAUAUAAUACUUACACUAUAUCAUAUAUCCCCAACCAAUCAUAUCUCUUCUUUCGGGAGAAAAGUACAACAAAAGUAUUUUUUAAAAAAAUCAUGAUGGGAUGGGUGAAUCCCAGGAGAGCAUUUUGGUUGGUUGGGGGUAUUGCAUCAGUAACAUAAAUAUUGCAUUUUCAACCAAGCUUUCAUCCAAUGUUGAACUAUCGGAGAGUCACAGACUCCCCCCCCGUCCUUAUCAGCCUACAACCCACGCAGACGGCGUGAGACUUGUCUCGCCAGUCUUGUCAUUUAGAUUCUGACAUAACUUAUUAUCUUGUCAUUCAGAUCCUAACAUAGUCUGUCACCCUGUCUUUCAGAUUUUAGCUCAGUCGAGACUCUUCAUACAUUUCUGACUGGUGAUUGGCUCUGAUACGACAUGUAACAAUCUGACCCACUAGCAAUAAUAACUUAUUGGGUUAAAACCAUCGAUCGAAAAUUCUUUAACCUAGUUAUUAUUAUUAUUAGUGUUCAUGAUCUCUCAUAUACCUAAUCACAAUUGAGUUUCAAUCUGAGGUAGGAUUAUGGGAAUCAUUUUAUGGUCAAUUUCUAUAACCAAAUUGGCGUGGAUUCCGAGGUAGGGAAUCAAUCCGAAGCAACGAAAUCAACGGUUGUGAUUCAUUCUCUUGUCCAUUGUUGGUACAUUUAUACGGCCCACCGAGAUUGACCUGCCCAGCCACACCACACCGACUACGUGUGCGUCACUUCAUCCAGUCCCACUCUGCGCCAUUAAUUAAUGGCUAAAUUACACUUAAAUCCUCAAACCUUAAACAUAAAUGAUGUAACAGUUUGGUCCUCACUUUCAUUCAUUACUAAUGAAAGAUCACACCGUACGUGGAUGUAAAAAUAUUUUAAUAAUAAAUUUUAGUUCAUAUUUUUAUAUAAUUUAAUCAGUCUUAUUUUUAAUUAAGUAAAGUUUUUUUUUAUAUAAUAUAAUAAUUAAAUCUAUUUCAAUAGAAAAUAAUUAAAAUUGAUAGAUGUACAAAGUAAAUUUAUAUAAUAUUAUAAUAGUUUUUAAUAAUUAAAUUAUUAGUAUUAUGUGAAAAAGAUUUGAAAGAAAUCUAUUAUAAUAAUAUAAAUAAAUCAAUAAAUAACAGAAAAGUAAAAUAAGAGGAAAAAAUUAUUUCAUGCACCAGGUGUAUAAAUAAAUUUUGCACAAAUUUCUAAUCAUUUAUUUAAACAUCUAAACUUCGUAAUUUUUUAUACAUAAAAGUAUUUAUACGGCGUAGAUAACAUAUAGUAGAUAAUUACAAUUUUAUUUGUACAACAUCGAUAUUUAAAUAAUAGGUUCGGUGCAUGUGUGGUGUACUAAUAUAGCAGGUGCAAGCAAUAAUUUGGGCCGGUGCAAGAGAAAUUAUUUCGUGCACCGGAUGUAUAAGUAUAUACUAUACACUACUUUUUUAAAAUGCUAUUAUAGAAAUUUAAAUUCUAUUUUUUUUUUGUAUAUAAGCAUUUUAGGUUCUGUGGGAUGCGGAGAGCAGUUCAAACCUGUAAGGGCUCUGAUUAAUAAGUUUGGUGCGGGAAGAUAAUAUAAUAGUAAAUUAUUAUAACUAUUAAUAUUACUUUAAAUUAAAAUUUUAAUUUUGAAUGCAAAUUCAAAUAUCAAAAUUAAAAUAAAAAAGUUAAAGUUUGAAAUCAAAAUAUACAAAAUUUAAGUUUGAAAUCAAAAUUUGAAAAAUUUAAGUUUGAAAUCAAAAUUUAGAUUCAAUUUAAAAUUCAAUUUAAAAUUAGAAUUCAAAUUAUAAUUCAAAAUUCUAGUUACUAAUUAGUUCAAAAUUUUAAUUUUAAGAUUAAUUCUAGAUUUAAAUUUAAAAUUUUGAAUUUUUAUAUUUGAGGACUAAAGUGAAAAAUUUGCAAAUUUUAGGGACCAAAAUUGGUAUACAAAAGAAAACUAAAGUACUAUUUUUAGUCCCUAAAGUCUCCAAAAAUAAAAAAUUACUUGAAAUGAAAGAAUUAUUUUUGUUGGUUCCCAAAAUAAAGUAUUCUAUACUUAUAAAUAAAAUAUUAUAUGACAAUAUAUUUACAUAAAAAUAAUAUAUAUAUAUAUAUAGAGAGAGAGAGAGAGAGAGAGAGAGAGAGUCCGACCGGCUACUAUACUUUUAUGAGUAUUGGCUCCCUUAUACUCAUAAGUUUUCGACCCUUAGAUUUAUUCUAUUAAUUAUUUUCAUUUGUUAGAUCAUACUAUUUAACCAACUACCCACUCAACCCUAGGGGACCACUAUUAUUUUAAGUGAGGACCACCAUCAUCCUAACCACACAUCCCAUCAAUCAACGGUUAAAAAUUUAUGAGUAUAUGAGGGUCUAUACUCAUAAGAGUAUAGUAGCCCCAGCCUAUAUAUAUAUAUAUAAAUAUAUAAUCAAAGAGAGUGAGAGAGAGAGGUCUACUGCUCUCUCUCUCUCUCUCUCUCUCUCUCUCUCCCUCUCAACCAGCGGUCCACGAGGUGAAGCCCACCUGGUGGACCGCGUGCAAGAUUGGCAGGUGAGCCCCACCUCGUGGACCACGUGCAAGAUUGGCAGGUGAGCCCCGCCACUUCUUCGGGUGGGCCCCAUUUGCCUGGGAUGCGGAGAAGUCUUUCUGGUUGAUUAUAAAUGGAUCGAUUAUUUUUGUCUCAAAUUUAUUAUGUUAUUAUAAUUUAGGAGUUGAGUUUCUAUACUUUUAAAAGUACAUGAGCUCAACAUAUUUGUAAUUUUUAGUUGUCGAAUUGUCUUGAGAUCCGUACAAUACUAGUAAAGAAAACUUAUCAGGACACACCUUUAAUAGUGUACUGCACGGAUUUUGAGAUAAUCCGACGGUUAAAAAGUCACAUGCACAAAUACUCGUCUCCUUUUAAAAGCGAAGGAGGUCAACUCAUAAUUUAGUCCUACAAUUUAGUUUUGCUGGCUGAAUGGUACUUGUUGGGAAUGAGGCACUAAUGCCAUAAUAUUCUAUUUGUAGUUGAUAACACAUCAAUAAUUAAAUUGAUUGUCUCUAGUGCAACUGGCAAAGGGUUUGAUGGUUGGUACUUAUGAUUAUAAAUUCGAACCCUAAUUGCUUUAUAUUCCUCCUAAGUUUUUUUUUUAAAAAAAAGAAUGAAGUAAUUAGUAGCAUGCUAAUUUUUCAAAAAAAAAAGACAAGAAUUAAGGUACCACUUCAUUGCCACGUUAGAAGCACAUUAUUAUUUAAGUCAACUAAAUUGAUAUGUAUGCCUUGAUUGUGACAAUUUAGAAAAUUUACACCAUAAAUUAUAAUAAAUUAGAAUGCAAACAAAGAAUUACAAUGAGUUAAAGUUUGAGGAUUGAAAAUAUAAUUUAGUCAUAAUUAAUUGAGGAAUGCUAGGGGAACGAUCCAAACCCUCAUCUUAGGGUUGAUCCAACCUCUUUUGAAUUUUAGUAUUUUAAAAAAAAAGUUUUUAAAAGGGUCAUUUGCAUACACGUCCCUGCAAACAUAGUGAAUUGUGAAAAUAUCCCUGCAAAAAAAAAACUCCAUAAGUUGUCCCUGCAAAAGUCCUAAGUUAUGCAGAUAUGUCCCUGCCGUCCAGAUCUGUUAGAAAAUUUUCGUUAACCAUGGUUAAAAUGCUUAACCAUGGUUAAUUAUAGUGUGAAUUUACGUAUUUACCCUUCUUUCUCUUCCUCAUCUUCCUCUUCCUUCUUCUUCGUCGCCGGCAAGGAGAUACGGCGGCGACGGUGGCGAACCCUCUUCCUUUUUCUCUUCCCUCUUCCUCUUUUCCCUUCUUCUUCCUUCUUCCUUCUUCUUUCUUCCUCUUCCUCUUCCUCUUCCCUCUUCUUCGUUACCGACGAGGGAGAAGAACCUCGUCGGGGUCGACCUCGGAAAGGCGGGCGAGUUUCUGGACGAGAAGCUUGAGGGCGUUGUUGUCGAUGAGGGCGGCGACGAGGGCGUGCGUGGGGUCGUUGUGGUCGCCGAGGACGUCGGCGUCGGUGAGGUCGGUGAGGAGGGAGACGACGUCGACGGCCAUGUCGGCGAUGUCGUGGCCGAGGAGGCCGACGAGGGAGGGGACAGCGUUGAGGGCGACGAGCUCCGGGUAGAGCUCCGGUGCCCCGGCGUUCUUCCCUCUUCUUCGUCGCUGGCGAACCCGACCCCGCGCCGCCGCCGCCGCCGCCGUCGUCCACUUCGACGGUCCGAAGAGGAAGAGAAAGAGAAGGGAAGAGGAAAACUUUUGGAGGGAUAUAUUUGUGAGGGUAAAAUGGUCAUUUCACGAAUUCACUGUUAAAAAAUAAACAGAUUACUAACGGAUGUUAACCAGAGGGACAUAUCUGCAUAACUUAGGACUUUUCAUGGACAACUUAUGGAGUUUUCGUUUUGCAAGAAUAUUUUCGCAAUUCACUAUGUUUGCAGGAACGUGUAUGCAAAUAACCCUUUUUUAAAAAAAUAAUUGAAAGGGCUAGUAGGCAAAACUUAUCCUUUAGAUGGCCAAGUUGUAAGACUACGACCAGAAAGUGGGUUGUAAUCCUUGUAUUGCUUUAAUUAUUUAGCGAAAAAGGUUGAGAAGCCCUGAAUUUGAGCUCUAGCUAACUUAUUAGUUUGGUUUCGAUUUUAUAUUAAACACCUCUCACUACAACAGAAUUAGAUUAUAGGGACACAUUUUGGGACACAUUUGUGUAAGUGUUACAUUUAUUUCCAAAUUUUUUACAAAAUUUUUUUAAAAAAAUCUACUAAGACUUAAAUAUAAAACCUAAUCCAAUUAAAGAUAAAAUGAUUCUCUAUUCAACUAACCCCACCCAGCCCACUUGGCCUGAUUACAAAUAGAAAAAAAAAAAAAAAAUGAUCACCAUCUCCCCUUCUAGUCCUUCUCCGCCGCCGCAGCCGACGAGGUAGGGUUCCUGCAGCUGGAGUUCGGUUGCGAAGAUCUCGCAAGGACCAUAGAGGGCAACGAUCGCCACGCGUUCCUCCAGCACAGGUCGCUGGAGGAGUGGGUGUUAAACAUCAAGGCGGCUCUACAUAUAGCGACCCCACAUAUAGCAAUACUUUUAAAAAGUGUGGGUAAUUUAGCAAGUAGCACUUUCUUUGACCUGUAUUCAUAUUUAAAAGUGUCGCUAUACACCGUUUUUGUUGUAAUGCUCAUGAAGAGUCAAGUAGGAUCAUACUCCCUUCAAUCGAUAAAUACCUGGAGACUAGGAUGAUCGUAUUACUCCAAGUUAAGGUAUAGGGAGCCGAGGGUGAUAGUAUUGCCCCAAGUUAAGCUCGUGGCUUGUAGAGUCAUGACCCCUACAAAUGAUGCCAAUACAUGUUUCUUCAUGUACAAUCUAGCAUCCAAUUGACGUUAGGGUUUACCUAUGAAUUCAUUCACAUGUUUACAUAUUUGAUCUCUACAACAAAUUUUCAUAGUUUGCCUAUACUCCACUGUGUUCAUCUGCAUAGAUUUUUUCCUAUGUUUAUUGUCACUAUCAUGCCCACUAAAUUCAUAUGUCCACAUUAUAGUACCCUACUUUUUUUUGGAGAGAUAGGUAGCACGCUACCCGCUUCGUUUAUUUCAUUUAGAAAUAAACUUAGCUGGAAAUAUGAAUCAACUAGGAUUCGAACUUGGGUCUCGGAUACCAACCACUAAGCCCUUUGCCACUUGCUCUAGGGACGGUCGGUAUUAUAGUACCCUACUUGCUCAUGAUGAAUGUUACUAAAUUUACAUGGCAUAAAAGAGAGAACAAAAAAACCUACACACAAGGUCAUAUACUCAUAACUCCUCGUAACACUGGUCUUAUGCAAACUCAUCAAAAUUAACUUUUUUGACUACAUGAAAGUAUAGACUACGUACAUGCAUAAAAAUAAGAAUAUUUUAGACAACAAAAAACUCAAACCUAUUUCAGUAAUAUUCCCUAUCUAAACUUAGAAAACCUCUUUGUAUAUAUACUCGUCUUGAGCACCCAAAACUUCAAAUCCAAUAUCUAAAGUUGAUGUUCUAAUCAAGUUAGAAUCUUUCAAAAGCUACUAUUUCAAACCUUCAAAAUAUCUACUGAAAUCAUAGAAACUCAUCUCAACCUAGAAGAAUUAACCAUUUCAUAAACUUCUUUUGAGUUGCAACCAAGUUAAUUAGAACUAUUAAAAAUUCAUCUCAACCUACAAGAACCAUUCCAAAAGCUCCUAUCAACCUCUAGAAAAGAGUUCUAAUUAAUGAACUAAUAAAACUUCUCAUUUGGAAAAAAAAAAAAAAAUCAUCCUUGCUAAGAGUUUCUAACCUUUCCCAAGCUUAAAUCGUCAGAUCAAGGAGAUCCAACAAUUAAUGGGGGAAAGUAGAGAGAGAGAGAGAGAGAGAGAGAGAGAGAGAGAUGAUAUGGAAAAUAUAAGGGUGAGAAGGACUUAGGUUGUGAGAGGGUAUUUAAAGAAGUCCUAGUACAAUUGUAUAUAAAUUAAACAUCCCAAUCAUUUGUAUCAGCAAUUAAAUGAACUAUUGCCUCCGGCCUGGGGCUUUCGAGUGCCCGUCCGAUCUUUCAUGCGCUCGAAAGCCCCAGGCUGUAGUGAGCUAAUGACGGAACCCUCACUAUCAAGAUACUAAUCACACUAGUAAACAAAUAUGAUGUAUCUAAAUUAUCCACAAUCAAGAUAUGCAAGACUAGAGUAAAUGAAGUUGAAAGAGAAAAAUCCAAGCACAAUCAUAACAACAACACAAGAUUUACGUGGUUCACCCAAACCGGGCUACAUCCACGGGCACGGAGAGAUCAAAUCCACUAUCAAAUGAGGAGAUUACAAGAUUUGGUUAGAGAUUACCACUCUAUUUUAAUGGGCUUAUAAUCUUCCAAUAGAAAUUCCUUCUUGCUAUACCUUCUUUGAAGCACCUUCCGAUUCCGCGAAUCCCGCUUCGGAAUACCUCUUAGAAUUACUCCAAUCUACCUUAGAAGCUUUUGAAUCAAGCAAGAAGAACAAGAGAGCUCCUUCUCCAACCCUCUCUACACCUCUCUUCUCUAUUAUAAGAAAAGGAAAAACCUAGAGAGCAAAACAAAAUGAGAACCCUAUCUUUCUAAACCCAAAGAGAAUCUCUUUUAACAUCACUUGGCCCAAUAUACCAAAAUGGGUCAACUAAAGCCCAAACCAAUUACUAACUAGCCCAUUACAUGAGUUGUUGAACCAAAACCAAAAUAAAACCAAUUAGGCUAAUAAGUGAAUUUGAUAUCAUAACCCAACAAUCUCCACCUUGAUAGCAAAAUCACCGCUCCUCAUCUCUGUGCCAACCAUGUGCCUUUAUCCUCCGCUCAACUUGAAGCCUAAAGAAGUUAGGCUCCAAUUCAACUUCUCUACUUGUACCGGCUUCGUGAGCAUAUCGGCUACAUUCUCAUGAGUGCCAACUUUCAACACCCUCACCUUGCCAUCUUCAAUGACAUCCCGGAUGUAAUGAUAUUGCACAUCAAUAUGUUUAGUCCUUUUAUGAUAAACCGGAUUUUUAGCCAAACAUAUUGCACUCAUACUAUUACAUAAUAAACACAUGGGUUUAAAAUUUAUACCAAGCUCUUUCAUCAAACCUUGAAGCCACACCGCCUCCUUGGUUGCCUCGAUAAGUGCUAUGUACUCGGCCUCCGUGGUUGACAAAGCUACCGUUACUUGAAGCUUGGACAUCCAACUAAUUGGACCAUUUCCAUGUUCAAAUACAAAGCCCGUUGUAGAUCUUCUCUUGUCAAGAUCACCGGCAAAAUUAGCAUCAACAUAACCUUGCAUUGGCCUUGAGUUUUUGCCAUACAUGAUUGCAUAAUCACUUGUACCUCUCAAAUAGCGAAGAACCCAUUUCGCCGCUUCCCAAUGCACCUUUCCGGGAUUUGCCAUAAACCGACUAAGAACACCAACGGCAUAUGCAAUGUCCGGGCGUGUACACACCAUGGCAAACAUCAAGCUACCUACAACACUUGAAUAGGGAACUCGAUUCAUCAACUUCUUUUCCUCCUCCGUCUUUGGACUUUGCUCGGAAGAUAAUUUAAAGUGAGACGCAAAUGGUGUCUUUACCGCCUUUGCUUUACUCAUGCCAAAUUUGUAUAUCAAUUUUUCUACAAAUCCCUUUUGUGAAAGUGACAAUGUGCCAUUUUGCCUAUCCCGCCAAAUCUCCAAGAAUUUGACGUGCCGGUCCGAGAUCUUUUACUUCAAAGGCUUUACUCAAUUCAUCCUUGAGUUCAUUGAUCUUUAGUUUGUCCUUGCAUACUAUAAGCAUGUCAUCCACAUACAACACCAAAGCCACAAAGGUACCAUCUUUGAAGAAUUUUAAGUAGACACAAUGGUCAUACUUACUUCUUUGGAAUCCACGACUUAGCAUAAAAGUGUCAAACUUUCGACACCAUUGUCCUGAUACUUGUUUGAGUCCAUACAAUGAUUUCUUGAGCUUACAUACAAGAUGUUCUUUAUCCUUCUCUAUGAAGCCGUGAGGUUGAUACAUAUAAACCUCUUCUUCUAAAUCUCCAUAUAAAAAUGUCGUUUUAACAUCUAAUUGCUCAAGUUCCAAAUCAUUCAUAGCAACAAGACUAAGAACAAGCCGAAUAGAAACCAAUUUAACAACGGGAGCAAAUACUUCAAAGAAAUCCAUACCUUCCUUUUGUGCGAAGCCUUUAGCAACCAAUCUUGCUCUAUACCUUUGAAUUGUCCCAUCGGUUCCUCUUUUGAUUUUGUACACCCACUUGCAACCAAUUGCUUUCCGGCUCUUUGGUAACUCCACCAAAUUCAAAGCUUCAUUCUUGUGAAGUGCCACAAUUUCUUCCUCCAUUGCUUCUUUCCAAUGCUUUGCAUCAAUAGAAUUUAUGGCCUCUAAAAAUGUACACGGCUCUUUUUGUUCCACAAUUAGUGCCCGAAAUAUACUUGGAUCUACAAAAUCUUUCAAAUGCAAAGGUGUGUGCCGCUCUCUUGUAGAACGUUGAGGCAAGUCAUCUAUUUCUCCACCUUCAUGAGAACUUUUCCCUUCAUUAGAAUUUUCAUGGAUUUGAUCAUCGACCUCACCAUAUUCAACCGGUGUAUCCUCCGAUUCAAUGUCUUCAUUUGGUGAGAAAGUUGAAGAUGGUAGCUCAAAAUUUUGAGUAUCAUUCCGAAUUCCUUCCCCCUCGAUGCUUUCAUGUUCUACACCCUUUUUCAACACAUUUGAUUCAUCAAAAUGAACAUCACAACUUGUGAUAAUUUUGUGGGCCGUCGGAUUCCAUAACCGGUAUCCUUUCACACCUUUUGUAUAACCAACAAAUAUGCAUUUUCUUGAUCUUGGAUCUAGCUUAGUUCUUUAACAACUAGGAACCAAUGCAUAAGCAUGACAACCAAAUAUUUUUAGAUUAGAAUAAUCACAAGGAGUUCCGAACCAUACCUCCUCCGGUGUCUUUCCAUUUAUAGCUAUGGAAGGUGAGCAGUUGACAAGAUAACACGUCAUGGACACGGCCUCGCCCCAUAACUCGUGCUCCAAACCGGCAUUACUCAACAUGCUACGAGCCCGCUCCAUCAAUGUACGAUUCAUCCUCUCGGCCACCCCAUUUUGUUGUGAAUCAUACGGAUUUGUAUAGUGUCUUGAGUGUUAAGGAUUUUAUAGGUUGGCGAAUUUCGUAAGGUUGUUUGGAGUCUUGAAGAGUUGAUCGCAGAAGUGUUUGAGAAUGGAUUCAAAUUGGAGGACGAAGACUCAUUCGGAAAGCUCGACACCUAAGGUAUGAAGAAAAGACUAUUUGUGGUGAAAACAUAUAAUUAGAAUAAGUUCAGAAGGCUUAGAGUGGUUUAAAAUAUUUUUUCUGAACUUUCAUGUGUUCUGGGACCGGUCUCUGAGAUUGAGAGACCGGUUCCACCAAGGUCCUCACUGCGUAAACUGUGAUGCAACCGGUCCCCUGUGAUGAGAGACCGGUUCCCGAACCAUGGUGCUUCUGUCGCGCAGCGAGGGACCGGUCUCGAGUUUGUGAGACCGGUUCCCGAACGUUGGGUUUUUGGUUACGCAGAGAGGGACCGGUUCCUCACUUGAGAGACCGGUCUCUCACAGACCGGUCUCCUCGAGAAGACCGGUCUCUGAGGACGACACAGGUUUUUAAAAACGACUUUUUGCAAUCCUAGUCUACUUCUAAGUCUUCUAAACAUAUAAAUAAGCUAUGUGGGUCAUCUAAAAUUAAGGCUUUGAAUAUUUUACCAAUUCUAAACCCUAGAAACUUAAUUCUCUUCGUUUCAAUGCUUAGAUGAGUUUCUAGCAAUCGACAUCGGCUUGAUUCUUCGUUGUUACUCAAUAAUCCUUACGAGAAUCAAGUAGAUGUUUGAUAAAAGGUGAACUCCCAUAGCUUAUGGUUUUCAAACCGUUAAAUCAGCCGACAAAUCUUCACAUUCUACAACUCCGGAAGGAGUUCGGCGCGGUGAUGCGCGUGUUGGAAGCCGAGGAUUCGUGGAUUCAGCUCGAGGAGUUGAGCGUUGACGCUGCGAGGAGUUGCAGCAAGGUCGAUUGGUGAUUCCUAUCAUCGAGGACCGGCAAAGAUCACAUCAACUAAAAUCAGUAAAUUGAGUCUGUGUGUUUUUGUCGAAAUCACUUGUACUCAAGUUUUCUUAGUGAAUUUUUCUUGGCGUGAUCGUCCGUGGGUUUUUCACUCCGAAUUGAGUUUCCCCACUUAAAUUCUCGGUGUGCUGUUUUAAUUUCCGCUAUUUUAUUGUUUGCAUCGAGAUUUUCGAAGUUUACAGGGAUUUAUCACCUAUUCACCCCCUCUAGUGUUGUAUGUACCUUUACUUGCAAGUGACUCCCAGGCUUCCGAAGGCUCUCGCCUUGUAUGAUGUUUUCCAAUAAAAACAGCAGAUGCCUCACAAAAGUUCUCAAGUUCACAAAAGAAUAUCGCGGGUAAAAAAAAAAAUAACUAAUUUCUUUUCUCUAAAACUAAAACCUUCAUACCCUCUCACUGUCAAUUGACCCAACCUUCUAUCCAUAGUCGAAGGUAAGGUCACCAUUUUCCCGUUCGCUACCAUAAGUUUCCACGAGACGUCAUUGUAGUCUCACCCCCCAAUAGCUUGUACAAGUUUUCCAACCCGAAUUCUCUUUCAAUACAACUCAACCUCACCUUGGAAAGCUUUAUAACUCGCACCUUGGCCGCGCCGAAAUUUAUAGCCUUUGUUUGCCAAUUCGAGAGAGUAAAGAAGAUCAAACACUUUCUUCAUAAAUCAGGAAUGUCACACAUUUCAAGUACCCGAACCAUUCCUAUCAUACUUAUUUAACCAACUUCCACCGUGCAAAACCAACUCCUAUCCGUAUUACCUAGUUGAGUUGUUCCCAUCGAUUAGUAACCACCAUCGCAUUCUUCGUAGUUAAUGAACCAUGAACGAUUGGCACAUAUGAUGGAUAGCGCCACUUAUCAAGAAUCCAAUUUAUGAAACACCGAACUAGAACCCGCCAUCAAGACCUCAUCAUCAAUAACACCGAUGUUAUUUCUUCAACCUAUGUGCUCAUUGUUCGAAUCCGAGUUUUGUUUACUACUACUUGAUUCACCAUUGUCCCUUCACCAUUGAGCCUUUUCUUUUUUAGACAACUUCUUCAUAUGUCGAUUUGCCACAAAACCAACAAAGCUUUUUGUCAUUCCGAUUUCUAAGACUUUGAUCUAUUUCUUUGACUUGCUUCUUGAAAAAAUUUCUUGACAUAUUUUCACGUUCUUUAUAACGACCUUUACUACAAGUGCUUCCGUUUCACACCUCCGAACUCCCCAAAGUUACCUUUUUCGAAGUUCAUCGCCAACAAUGCACUACAAACUGUCCAAUCAAGAGAAUCUUCUUUAGUGCAACUUAAACUUAUAAUCAAAAUCUCAUAAGAAUCCGCAAUGUGCAUAACAAAGUGAUGCCCUUAUCUCAUCCUUCAUCUUCUCUCGCGAUACUCCAAGCUCAAAAUAAUGUUGUUGAAUACAUUCAAUGCUCGGAGACCUUGGUGCCUUCUUUCAUCUCAAAGAGUACAAUCGUCUCUUCAAGAAAUUCCGGUUGUAAUUGACUUGUUUGUACAAGCUCUCUAACUUUGCCCAUAAUCCAAAAGCCGUUUUCUCUCCAAUUAUAUUGAAAAGAACUUCAUCCGCCAAGCACAUGCGAAUGGUGGCUAAAGCUUUCAUGUCCAUCUCCUCCCAUUCAUCAUCGGCCAUCCAUUCCGGUUUCUUAUCUCUCCCAAGUAGAGCCUUGUAUUGUCCAUGUUGUACCAAUAAAUCACGAACUUUUAACUUCCAAAGUUCAAAGUUUCUCUUUCCAUCAAAUUUGUCCACUUCCAAUCGAUUUGUUGCCAUUAAGACAAUUUAUCGAACACCUUGCACUCAACCUUGAAGCUCUGAUACCAAUUGUAGUGAGCUAAUGACGGAACCCUCACUAUCAAGAUACUAAUCACACUAGUAAAUAAAUGUGAUGUAUCUAAAUUAUCCACAACCAAGAUAUGUAAGAUUGGAAGUUGAAAGAGAAAAAUCCAAGCACAACCACAACAACAACACAAGAUUUACGUGGUUCACCCAAACCAGGCUACAUCCACGGACACGGAGAGAUCAAAUCCACUAUCAAAUGAGGAGAUUACAAGAUUUGGUUACAAAUUACCACUCUAUUUUAAUGGGCUUACAAUCUUCUAAUAGAAAUCCCUUCUUGCUACACCUUCUUUGAAGCACCUUCCGAUUCUGCGAAUCCCGCUUUGGAAUACCUCUUAGAAUUCCUCCAAUCUACCUUGGAAGCUUUUGAAUCAAGCAAGAAGAACAAGAGAGCUCCUUCUCCAACCCUCUCUACACCUCUCUUCUCUAUUACAAGAAAAGGGAAAACCUAGAGAGCAAAACAAAAUGAGAACUCUAUCUUUCUAAAUCCAAAGAGAAUCUCUUUUAACAUCACUUAGCCUAAUAUACCAAAAUGGGUCAACUAAAGCCCAAACCAAUUACUAACUAGCCCAUUACAUGAGUUGUUGAACCAAAACCAAAAUAAAACCAAUUAGGCUAAUAAGUGCAUUUGAUAUCAUAACCCAACACAGGCCGCAGCUCCAGAGCCCUCAGCUUCAAUGUCCAGAAAAUGAUCCGGAUGCCCACGCACCUGAUACUGUGAUUCGGACGCCCGCAGGGCAAACCGAUCGAGCGUCCGAUUAAUUAACAAGUGGAGCUUCACCUCCUCUCAAGUUGGGCAUCCGAAAUUAAGUGGAUUUGGGCACCCGCAGAUGCAAUCCGGAAGGUUUUCAGAUGCUUGCAGAAUCAGAAUCAUUCGGACGACAGAAUGUUUAUUUCUCCAUGAAUCCGUACGUGCUCUUGGCUAGAGCGUCCACUGACACUCGGCGCUCGACAAGACGAUCCGAAAGAUUUCAAUCACCCGAAAUUCUGUUCGAGCAUACGAAAAGCCUGGAAACCAGGUUCCAACUUCUUUUGAAUCUCCAUUUCGAUUCGAAUUGAUUGCAACUUGUUCCAAACUCAGCCUAACCUUCUCCAAAAUUAUUUUAAUCAUGUCGAACACAACUUUUCAUCGGCCUUUUCCAAUUUGGCAAAAAUUCGGUACACUAUACCAUACUGAGUUUCUAUACAUUAUAUAUAGAUAUAAUUAUGAAAAACAUUGCCGGCCCCUAUAUAUUUACAUCUGCAGUUUUUCUUUUGUCUGAUGUUAACAAUUUUUUUUUUUUCUCUCUAUGCAAAGGGUUUUUUCUGUGCAUGAGGUGAUUCUAUCGCGAAUAAGCAACGGGAUAAAUGUGAACCAUUUAGGCAGUGUUUGGUUGUGGGAUAAAAGGGGAAUAACCCCUUUUAUCCCACUAUUCUUGCCAAACAUCAAGUAAAAUUGUCUUUUUAUUUUAUCCCCGAGUUAACGGGUUAUCCUAGGAUAACCCGUUAACUCCUAUUCCUCGCAACCUGUGGAAUAGGCAGCGCGCGUGAUUUAUCCCAGGGGCAUUGCUUGGAAAAUGCGAAACCCUUCGCCAUUACUCCCACCCACCUCCUUUUCCUAUCUACGAGCUUGGAAAAGGGCUUCUUCCCCUCUUGCCUCCUCCCUCAACUACCGCUAUCAAUGAAGGUGAUCUGAGCUACGAUUUCCCCUUCGCCUUCAACAUUAUUGCUCCUACGCACAUCGGCAUGUUCCCAUUUCCUCGAAUUUGCCAUCGUCUUUCUCUUCUCAUCCCCUCUCGCCUCGUCCAACAACUGGCACUAUCAAUGAAGGAGAUCUCACCUAAUACCUUGUAAUCUUUUAUAACUCUCUCUUUUCUCGAUUAGGACGCCUUCUUCUCUCCACUCCUGUCGCUGUUUCUCUCAAUCACUGUUAUCAUUUAGCUAGAUCUCAUCCAGAUCUGCCUUCCUCAUGGACAACCCUCUCAAAAUCUUGGGGUGUUUGUAUUUAAUGGGUUUAUAUUUGUAAGGCAACCCACAUCUCUUCGUUGCCUGCCUGGUUGUGUGGUCAAUUCGGCCAUUUAUUGCUACCAACGGCUCUUCAGGUAAAGAACUUAUUAUUCAAGAGGCUUUCCUUCUAUAAAUUCAGGUGGGUAGAAGGUAAAAAUUCUUUUCAGCUUGUUGCAUCUGAGACUCUAGCUUUUCUGUUGCCUCUAACACUAUUUGCGUGGCUGUAGUAUUGUUCUCUGUCGAUUAUUGAGCUAUUCUCUUGUGAUCACAAGAGAUUUGAAGGAAACUUGAGGUGAGGCUUCUAGGAUACUUGUGAUAUUGUUCUCCCUCUUAUCAUAUAUUGUAAUAUUUCGCUGUCAUUCUCCUAUAGUGUCAUAAUUAAUAUUACACGCUUUCUAUUUAUAUUUGAAAAUUUUUUUGAAAGAUUUUGUUGAUUUUUAUAAAGCUGAUGCUUAUAAGUCUUUUUAUUCCAAGUUGGACUUUGUUUUGAUCUAUUUAAUAUUUUAUAUUUUUAUGUUGUAUUGUGAUAAAAAAGAGAACAUAUUUUGUAUUAGUAAUUUUCAGUCGUGAUCCAUAUUAUGGUAAGAAUCUUAAUAUAGCUGCAGUUUGGAAAAACAGCUUAAGGGAGGAGAACUUGUUCGACUAAUCCUUGCUUCAACCUUUAUUACAGCUGAAAUAUAUUUCAGUUGCACAUGAAAUAAAGCAACAAUGGAAAGGUCCCAAACGAUGAAGCGAAAAUUGCUGGGUUCGGAUCUGAACACAUUUGAUUCGAUGGAGAGUUAUAAAAAAAAGGCGAUGAUGUAGGGGCAGGUCAAUGAGGGGUAUCCAUGGCAGGGUGGCAUGUUUUUACAACAAUUGCAGCCGUCAUGGUAUCACAUUGAACCUUCCCCUGAGCCUUUUUGUAUAAAAAAAAAAUCUCUUUUGAGAUUACCAUGAACCGGGUUGCAUGUGUUAGUUAAAUUCAUAUAUCUAACAAUAUUUUCAUAUUAAUCUCAGAUGGCUCCUCCCAAAAAGACGGUGCAUACUUUUGCUAAAAACAAAGCCCCGAUAAUUGAUGUCCCAUCGACUGAUAGCCAAAGUAUAGAUUGCCCUAUGCAAGAGUCAUCGAAAAGUAGAGUUCGAUCUUCUAACUGGACUGAAAAAAUGGAUUCUGCAAUGUUAAACUUAAUGACAGAGGAGCAUACCCUUGGAAAUUUUGUGAAUGGAAGUUUCACUCCAUUAGCAUGGACCAAGAUGGUUCAUGACUUCAAUGAGAGGACAAAAUUGAGUUUUACCAAAACCCAUUUGCAAAACCGAUUGAAAGUAUUGAAGCGUCAGUAUCUAACCUAUCAAACAUUAGCCAACAAAAGUGGAUGGGGGUGGGACUGCACACGCAACAUUCCAACCGCCGGUGACCCAAGUGAUUGGGAAGCGAUCAUAACAGUAAGUUAUGUUAUGUUAUAAAUUUCUUCACAAGUCUUGUUUACUUUUAAUAUUAACACAUUUAUGUACAAAUUUACUUGUUGAUUCAAUAUUAUAGGAAAAUCCGGCGUAUGCGAAAUGCAGGGACAAGCCAUUUCCUGCAUAUCAAGCUAUUGAGUUUUUAUCCGGAAAAGCAACUGCAACCGGAAGGCAUGGAUUUACUUCUAUGAUGGAUGCAGACGAUGCUCGCAGCACCUCUUCAUCUUCACCAGCUACACAACGACUUAACAUGGAGAGUUUGGGAAAGAAUUUGGAGGAUGUUAAUGAUGCAAAUUCAACUUCCCCAACCCCAACUCCAGUCAAAGUACCAAGCCAAUACACUGACAGUGCCUCUGCUCCGACCUCUUCAAUGAAGAGGCUUCGUGUGUCACCACCUAUUCCUACACCAACUUCAAAUCGUCGACGAAAAAUUGAUGAUCGAUCUGAAGCUAUGAGUGAGCUUGUUCAGUUAGGGAGAAAGAGAACGGAAAUAGCAGAAACCAUAAUGCAACGCGAGCUACAAGCACGACCAAAAGUUCACUCCAUAGAGGAGUGCAUGGAAAGAUUAACUACUGUUGCUCAUUUGUCCCCUGAUGGUCUACUGGCUGCCUGUGAGGCUUUAAAAGAUGAGCGUAAUCGACCAAUCUUUAUGACAUUGAGUGGCGAACUUUUAUAUAUGUGGAUCGACCGUCAAAUUUCCAUGCAACAGCUGUAUGCAACACAAAGACCUGCUGCUCCUUUUCCACCGGCUACACCUUCUUUUUCGCCUGCUGUACCCUUCUUCCCAGCACCAUCUACACAGUACACUCCAGGAUCAUCCUCUUUUCCAGCUGCAUUCUUUCCUCCUACCGUAUCAACUUUUCCUCCAGGAGCACCUUCCUUCCCUUCAAAUGCACCCUCGAACCCUCCCGAAGGACCACCUUUUCCUCCGAAUUAGAUAACUAUUAAUAUGCACCACUUUUUGUGGUCUUGCACUUUUUGCUAGUACUAUCGGUUAGCAAGGCCUUAAACUAUUCCCUAUUUUCUGGACUUGUGCUAUUUCUGUUUAGUAUGUUUCAAUUAGUGUGUUUUGUUGGACUAUUUACAAUGCGGUAUUAGGUAUAUGCUAUAUAUUAGAUGCUAAAAUCUGCAUAUCCUGAAUUCCGGUGCAUGUUUUCAAACCUGUAUACAUGUUUUACUCUGCUACAUGCUACAUAUUCUGCAUNAUAUAUAUAUAUAUAUAUAUAUAUAUAUAUAUAUAAAGUAGCGCUGCUGUGCUCUCAGGAGCGCGGAGGCCUCCGUGCUCCUGAGCCGUUUUCGAUGAUGGAAUUUUCGAAUCGACAAUCGGCUCCGUCAAACUUGAUCUAGCGUAUUUGAAGUUUCUAGAAAAUAAUUUUUGCGAUUUUUUUAUUUCAUUUACCUAGCAAUCGAAAGGAUUCAAAAUCAAUAAUUUUUAACGGCUGAAAAUAAAAAUUUUAUAAAAAGUGGUGAUAUAGCAUUAAAAUUUUCGAUCAGAAAUAUUGAUCUUGUUGUAGAUAGUAUAAAGAAUUUUGUAUCAAAAUUUCAUCUACUUUGAAUACUUCUACACUGUUAAACUUGAAAACGGCAGAUAUCAACCAUGAAAAAUUAUUGAUUUUGAAUCCUUUCGAUCACUAGGUAAAUGAUAUCAAAAAAUCGCAAAAAUUAUUUUCUAGAAACUUCAAAUACCCUAGAUCAAGUCUAACGGAGCCGAUCGUCGAUUCGAAAAUUC
rnacentral:lncRNA from 1 species